UUUACGCUCAAAAUCCAAAGGAAAUUUUAAAAAACAAAUAAAAUUCAAAUAGGGCCAAAUUAAAAGUCAGUGCAACAGGGAGGGAUUAAUUGCCCAAUUAUUCCCUUUAAACAAAACGCGCGGAUCCUCACGGGUAGUGGAUCGGGUUGAAACGGGUCACCCUAUACAGUGCCGUUUUGAGGCCAUUGAAGUUGGCCUAAAACGACAAUGUCUGAUGCCCUUUAUAAAAACAAAAAUAAACCCUAAAAUGAGACACCUAGUCAUUUUAAAAAACAAAACAAAACCUAAGCUAUUCUCUCUAUUAUUCGGCCGAACCAAAGGCUCCUUUCAACUGCCGUUUUGCCUCCAUACUCGACGGACGAUGCUAAAUCCGACUCUAUCUAGAGUCGUAUAAUCCUCAUUUGAACUUCGAUUUCAACGAAGCAAACAAGGACUCGAAGGCGUUCUUCAAAAAAAAGAAAAGAUAAGUCCCUUUCCCUCUUAUAUUUUGCGUGAAAGGUCUAUGUGCCGGAAUAAAGAAAAAAACAAAUUGAAACAUGGAAAAAUAAAUCUGAAAUCACCUUAAUUUUUUAUUGCUUCUUUGUAUUCAGUGUGUGUGUAAAAAAAAAUCCCCCAUACAUUGUUUACAAAUGGCUUUUUAUGGCCGAAAACCCCUUAAAAAUGAAAAGAAAUUGAAACUACAAUCAUUUUCUUUUCUGUUAUUUCUUUACUGUUGAUUCCUUGCUGUUAUUUUCUGUAGCUAUUAGUUUGUUGCAAGCGUGGAGGUCGUGGUGCUGCUGACAUGGCGAGGCCGUUCGUGGGGUGUGACGCGAAGGCUUCCAGAAGCUUCACUUGUUUGGGCUCUAUGAGCCUGCCUUGAAAUCGGACGGUUGGAGGCUGGAAGCCAUUGUUGCGGCGUGAGGAAACUUUGGUUUCUGAAAGAAAUAUUGGGCCUUUCGGGUCAACUUUGGGCUAGGGAUUAUGGGUUAGAUUUAGUAAUUGGGUUGUGUAGUUUGGGUUUAAUGGUUAGGAUUAUUAGGCCAUUCGGGUUAGGUUUAUUGGGUUAGGGAUUAAUUUGGUAUUUAAUUUAAUGUUUGGGUUUGGUUUGAUUUAGGCUUGAAAAUUUGUAAAUGGACAUUAGACCUUUAAAUUUUGACCUUUUAUUUGUUUUUUUUAUUUUGGUUUUUAAUUUAUUUUUCUGGGUUUAUUGCGGGCCGGGAAAAUUGGGCCUACUACAAUAAUGAAUUUAAAUAAUUUGGGUGCAUGAAAACAUGUUAAAAUGCUACAGUUCGAUUUAUGGUUUGUAGCUCUAAUACGUCGGAAGAUAUAGUUAUUUUCUAAAAAUGUUGAAGUUCAAACGAUUCCCAUAACUAUUACUACAAGAAAAAAGAGAUGUUCAAGGGGAGAAUAGUUGAUGAUUACAGGGACAAUCAAAAGGUCUACCUCUUUGAUGAUAGUGAAUAUAGAAAUAUCAAUAAGAAAAUGUAACAGAUAGUCCCAACAGAAAACAAAAUGAAAAAGAUAAUAAAAAAAAAUGAAAGAGAAAACGAGAGAGGUGAAGGGUUGAAUUGAAUUUUUUAUAUAAAUAUUUUUUUAAGAAAUAAUCUUAUUUUUGGAAAUAAGAAUAAAAGUAUCUUUGAUUAAGAAUUAAAUUUUUUUAAUACCUUAGAAAGGAUGGGUGAACCAACGAAUAAUAGCUUUGGUAGGGAGACAAAGAAAGUCCAGCGACGGGAGGAGGAUCCACCAGAUGAAGGGGGAGGUGAUACUCUUAUAGAACUUAUUGCUCCCAAGGCUAUUUCUUUAAGGGAUAUGGUUAUGAACUUUCGGCAGGGGGAUAGUCUAAAGGAUAACUCUUGGGCAGAGGAUGUCAUUGAAUUAAAAGAAGGCGAUAUGAGGAAGGAGAUUAUUGACAGUGUCCCAUCCAUUAAUUUCUUUGAUCGAGUUUUUUACUUAUUGAGAAAAUCAUGGCAAAGACUUUGGUAGUAAAGUUUCUUGGGAGGAAGAUAGGUUAUAAUGCGUUGUGGAACAAACUGUGCUCCAUAUCCAGCUGAUGGAUAUUGAGCAUGAUUAUUAUCUUGUAAAGUUUGAAUCAAUUAAGGACUAUACUAUGUUCUUUCUAAAAGACCUUGGGUGGUGUUUGGACAGUACUUGAUGGUUCAGCCAUGGUCACCCCAAUUCAUACCCUUAGAACCCUUUCCGCAUAAUUUUGUUGCAUGGAUACAUAUCCUAGGUCUAUUAGAAACCUUCUAUAAGAAAAGCAUUCUAAAGGAGAUUGGAGAGAUAAUUGGAAUUGUUAUCAAGAUUGAUCUUUAAAUGGAUAAGGGUUCAAGGGGAUAGUUUGCAAGAUUUGUUGUUUAAGUGGAUUUGUUGAAGCCCCUUGUAUCGAAAAUCCAGAUUGCCAAAAGAAACCAUAGAGUAAAGUAUGAAUCGCUUUCUAUGAUAUGCUUUCACUGGGGUACUUACGGUCACAUGAAAGACGACUACCCCCAAAACCAUAAUAAGGAACCAAUCGAUGGUGCAAACAAUAAUGUUCAACAACCAAAAGCUUCUGUCCAACAGCUAAAUGUGUGACAACCCAAAUUAGACCCUGGUCGGAAUGUGGUUUCGAGACCACAUUACCGAGCCAAAAAUUUAUUUUCGUGUUUUAAUUGCAUAAAUUGUUGUGUGACAGUGAAUGUAUGAGAAAUUAAAUGCUUAAUAUUAGCAUUAGGAUUGUGAAUUCAUUCAAAAAGGACCUAGUUGACGAAGUUAGAAAAGAUGAUAGAUGAAUUAUAAGGAUUAAUUAAUAAUAGGUUGAGGAAGCAUGGCUUUGCAUGUCAAUUUGCCCAUAAAAUUCAUGGUGGCCGGCCAAGGAGUGAUGAUGCUCCACUCAUUCUAAUUUAAUAUGUUUCUUUGGUGAACAAAUGAUGGGGAUAAUAAUAAAAAAGGGAACAAAAAAAAAUGGGUGUCAUACUUGCCAUCUCCUAGCCGAAAAACCAAGAAAAAGAAGGGGAGAAAAGAACUUGGAAGGAAUUCGGCCAUUGCUUGUGCCUAGGGAGAGUGUUUGAUGUUGUGGCAUGAAAAAUGAGGGAGUUUGAAUGCUUAAUAAGGAGGGAAGAAGGAGUGUUCAUAUUUUCUUUCUUUUGCAAUUGUUCUAACUAGAGGAAGAAGAGGAAGCAAGAUUCGGCCAAGGUGGUCCUUUAGACCAAGGUAUGUUCAAUGAUAUUUUUGGAAGCUUACCCUACCUUUGGGGUGAUGAGUCUAGAUUCUAUCUAUUCCAUGGUUGGAUUUGGGGUUGUUGGAGAGUUAGGAUUCGGCUAAGGAGUUUAAAAAUAAAAGCUAGUUGAUACCUUGAUGCUAUUAGCAUGCUAGUUAUAUGGUUGUGUUAAGUUGCUUGUUAUGUUAGCAUGAAAGUUGAAAAUUGUUAAGCUAUUUUGUUGGAGGUGCCGAACUUAGGACUAGGAAGAGAAUGAGUAUUCGGCUAACAUAGUGGAAAGGUGGUGUUGCCGAUUGCUAGAUUUAGACUAGGGGAGUGGCUGUAAUGGGCAUUAAGAUGUGGGACUUAAGAAAUGUAGUUAUAUGUGGACUUACAUGAUGUUACAAAUAGAUGUGAAAAUAUGCUAGAUUAGGAAAACUCGAUUAAGUGUUCAUGAGAUGAAAUUAGGUGUUUAAAUGAUGUUAUAGUUGACAUUGUACAUGUAUACAUGCAUUUCGGCCAUGGUCUUUGCUUGAAUUUGAGAUUUGUAAUGUGAUUUUCCUAAAUUGUCUAUGAAUUUUUGGUUGUUGAUUCCAUGGUAAUGGUAUAUUGAAUCCAUGAAAAUUUAGUAAGGUUGCAUUCGGCAACUUGCUUGGAAUUAAAAAUUGAUGUCUAAGCUUAGGUGAUUUCGAUGAUGAUAUAUAUAUAUUCAUAAGUAUAUUUAGUUGAUUCGGCUUUGGUAGUUGCAUGAGGCUAUUGGCCGAAUAUACUAACAUACAUAUACAUGUGAAAUUGGAUUGUAAAUAUUUAGCAAGGUGGUUAAACUAGUUAAAUUAUUGAUUUAGCUCAAGGAGUUAAAGGAGGUGAAUCGAGCAAAGGCAAAGAAAAGGUUAUCGAGUAGCCGAGUUGGAACCGUCUUACCCAACACGAGGUAAGUCAUUAAGCAUGUAGUGGGUAUUAUUUCAAAUGGUCAUAAUGUGUAUGUAUUGAUGCUGAUUGGAAUGAAUAAAUAUACAUAUAUAUAUAUGCAUGUACGUAUGUGAUGAUGAAAUUGUUGAAUGAGUGAAAAGAGGUAAGAUGUACUGAGUUGUUGAUCUCGGCACUAAACGUGCGGGAUAACCAUUUAUGACCAUGAGAUUGGCGCUAAGUGCGCGGGAUUAAAUUGUACAGCACUAAGUGUGCGAUUCGACUAUGUUGCACUAAGUGUGCGAAAUGAAUAUGAUGCACUAAGUGUGCGAAUUGACCAUGCGGCACUAAGUGUGCGAGUCUAACUAUGUAGCACUAAGUGUGCGAUUUGAUUACGUGGCACUAAGUGUGCGAGUUGAUUGUAUAGCACUGAGUGUGCGGGCUCAAUAUACAUUCGUGAAUCAUUAUGGACACUAUGUGUGCGACACUAUUGAGUCGAUCGCGGACAGCGGGUCGGGUAAGUGUCUUGAGCACGUGGUUAAUAGGUGCUAUGCUUAUACUUGGUGUUGAGCUCGGUAAGUUCGAACCUAUGUGACAUAUAUACUUGAAGUCACGUACAUAAAAUUUAUCGUAGGAUGGGUGAAAGGCCGUAUAGUCGUUUGAUUGUAACGAAAAUAAAUUGAUUUAUGAAAUUGCUUCAAUGUCCUAUUGAUGAGUAUAUAGAAUGUGAAUGCAUGAAUUGAUAUGAAAUUGAAUUGAGAGGUUGGAGGAACUAUGGUAUGGUUCGGUAUGGAUGGAGUAAAUUGUCUCGUUCUAUUUUGUUUCCUCUUGUGAUAAUGUUGUCGAUAGAUGGUAGUGCAUUGCUUAUGACUUACUGAGUUAUAAACUCACUCGAUGUUUCCUUGUCACCCAUUAUAGGUUGCUUGGACUCAUCUAUUUUUGCGGGGUCGGGCCGUCAUCGAAGUCAUCACACCGGAUAGCAAGUUUUGGUACUUUCUUCUUAGUGUGUUUAGAAGAUCAUUUUGGCAUGUAUAAGCUAGUACGUUGUGUUUGAAUUAUGGCAUGUAAACUUUAAGCCAUGCGAAAAUGGCACGAAUGUUCGAUUGAAUUGGAUCAAGGGUAGACAUGAAAUGGACCUAGUUACUUUCGUAACAGAUGCUGGCAGCAGCAGUGUCAUGAGAUUGAAAAAUCACUAAAAAUAGUAGGAGUGGAAUUAAUUGAUGAAUAAAUUAUGUAAUCGAAGCUCGAUGAGUCUGCUUUCAUGAGGAGGUAACGAAAAGAUCAUAUGGGCAGUAUAUUAAGAGAUAAUCAGAUUUUAGUGGGACAGGGCCAGAACGGUUUCUGGAUUCCCUGCUCCGACUUUGGAAAUUCAUUAUAAAUUAACCAGAGAUAAUUAGGGGUCGUACCACAUAUGUACAGAUUCCUCUCUAAGUCUAGUUUUCAUAGAAACAAACGGAAACAGAAUUGAAGCCCCGUGCAGGGAGAUAUCCAAGUCGUAAUGGGCAAAGGUCAGUGUAGUCGACCCCUGCAACUUGGGAGACUUUGACUAAUAAACUGUACUAAUUGGCCCGACCAAAAAUUCUAGAAAAAAAUACAUAGAUGGGCACAUGAGUCUAGUUUCGGGGAAAAAUUACGAAACUGAUUUUUGAGUUACGAAACUCAAGAUAUGAUUUUUAAAACGACUAGUACACAGAUUGGGCAGUGUCUGGAAAAUAAAUUUUGUAAGGGGUUAAAGCCAGUUAACACCUCGUGUUCGACUCCGGUGUCGGUUUCGGGUUCGGGGUGUUACAUUUUAUUGGUAUCAGAGCUAUGGUUUAGUCGGUUCUAGGACUUCCAUAGCACGUAUGAGUCUAGCUAUACAUGCCAUAAUGUUAAUGUUUAAAAGGGUGAUGACUUCUGACGGUUGAAAUGUUUUUGUCUUGAUUAGUAAAUGGAUCCCGGUGAAGAAAGAACCCUAGCGGAUGACGUUGAGAGCGUAGCGGCUGCUCCUGCACAAGGGACGCCACCUGUUGAACCUCAGUCAUCUGCGAAUAAUCAAGGUGAGGGGGCUAAAGAAGCCUUCUUUACCAUGAUGAAUGAGUGAGUCGCGCAAUAUGCCCGAGCCAACCCGGCUGUCCAACAAUUCCCAAAUUUGAAUAACCCACCCCAAGAGCCUGUAAGGCCGUCAGUCGCUGAUCCUGUGAGGCUGAGUAAGCCACCUGUAGACUUGAUUAGGAAGCGUGGGGCCGAGGAGUUCAAGGCCAUAGUAACUGAUGAUGCCGAAAGGGCCGAGUUCUGGCUUGAUAACACCAUUCGGGUGUUCGAUGAAUUGUCAUGCACACCCGAUGAAUGUCUAAAAUGUGCUGUAUCUUUGUUGCGAGACUCAGCCUACUAUUGGUGGAGGACCUUGAUUUCCAUAGUCCCGAACGAGCAAGUAACUUGGGACUUCUUUCAAACGGAAUUCCGGAAGAAAUUUAUUAGCCAACGGUUCAUUGACCAGAAGCGUAAGGAGUUCUUGGAACUCAAGCAAGGCCGUAUGACUGUAUCUGAAUACGAACAUGAAUUCAUAAGACUUAGUAGGUAUGCCCGGGAGUGUGUAGCUGAUGAGGUUGCUAUGUGCAAAAGAUUUGAGGAAGGAUUGAACGAAGAUUUAAAGCUACUAAUGGGUAUUCUGGAAAUAAAGGAAUUCGUAACACUAGUCGAACGAGCCUGCAAGGCGGAGGAACUUGGAAAGGAGAAGAAGAAGGCUGAAUUUGAAGCUAGAGAUUAUCGUAAAAGAUCGACGGGUAAAGCUCCGUUCUCAGCUGUGAAGAAGUUCAGGGAGGACAUUAAUAAGUCGAGGGCGACUGCGGGAAUUUCCAUCAGGGCAAGACCAUCGAUGGGCUCCCGAGCUACUUCGGUAGCUAGUGUGGGCAAUAAUCGUCACGAGAAACCUGAAUGUCCCCAAUGUGGAAGACGACACCUAGGUGAAUGUUGGGGCAAGUCUACUAACAGGGCCUGUUACGGAUGCGGUUCGAAGGACCACUUCAUUAGAGAUUGCACGGAGCUGGAUGAGAAGAAUAAGAUUCAAGGUGCAAGACCUAGUGGAGUGACAUCUAGAGGUAGACCACCGAGAAUUUUAGGAGGCAGGGGUGGUAGUCAGAGGGGGGCCUCUGAUACGGCCGAUCGCGCCGAGAACCGUACUCCUGCUAGAGCGUAUGCCAUUCGCGCACGAGAGGAGGCAUCCUCCCCCGACGUCAUCACUGGUACCUUCACUCUCUUUGAUACUAAUGUGAUUGCAUUGAUUGACCCUGGCUCUACUCAUUCAUAUGUAUGCGAAACCUUAGCAUCCAGUAAGACUCUACCUGUUGAGUCUACUGAGCUAGUAAUUCGAGUGUCAAACCCUUUGGGUCAAUGCAUACUUGUUGAUAAAGUGUGUAAGAGAUGCCCUCUAAUAAUCCGAAAAUCCUGUUUUCCAGCCGAUCUGAUGCUUUUGCCGUUCGACGAGUUUGAUGUUAUUCUUGGUUUGGAUUGGUUAACCGCGCAUGAUGCGGUUGUGAAUUGCAAAAGCAAGACUAUCGAUUUGAGGUGCGCGAAUGACGAAAUAAUCCGAGUUGAGUCUGCGGACUUAAGGGGGUUGCCAGCUGUAAUAUCAGCAAUGUUGGCCCAGAAAUAUGUAAGGAAAGGGUGCGAAGUAUACCUCGCGCAUGUACUUGAUGACAAGGAGUUAGAAAAGAAACCCGAGUCGGUGCCGGUGGUUUGUGAAUACCCGGAUGUUUUUCCUGAAGAGUUACCGGGUUUGCCACCUAUUCAGGAAGUAGAGUUUGGAAUUGAGCUUAUACCUGGAACUACGCCAAUCUCGAUCGCUCCGUAUCGUAUGGCACUAACCGAGUUAAAAGAGUUGAAAGCUCAGUUGCAAGAAUUGACGGAUAGAGGCUUCGCUCGACCGAGUUUCUCACCUUGGGGUGCACCAGUAUUGUUCGUGAAAAAGAAGGACGGAACCAUGAGGUUGUGCAUUGACUAUCGUCAAUUGAAUAAAGUGACGAUAAAGAAUAAGUAUCCGUUACCGCGUAUUGAUGAUCUGUUCGAUCAAUUAAAGGGAGCAUCGGUGUUUUCAAAGAUAGAUUUGAGAUCGGGUUAUUAUCAGUUGCGGAUUCGAGAUUCGGACGUACCCAAAACUGCUUUCAGAACGAGGUACGGUCACUACGAGUUCUUAGUGAUGCCGUUUGGGCUCACUAAUGCCCCUGCGGUGUUUAUGGAUCUGAUGAAUCGGAUCUUCAGGCCGUAUUUGGAUCGGUUUGUAGUUGUGUUUAUUGAUGACAUCUUGGUCUAUUCAAGAGAUGAGACCGAACAUGCUGAGCAUCUGAGGCAAGUGUUGCAAAUUUUGCGGGAUAAGCAGUUAUAUGCUAAGUUCAGUAAGUGUGAGUUCUGGUUAAGAGAGGUUAGCUUCUUGGGUCAUGUGGUAUCCGCAUCGGGUAUUCGAGUUGACCCAAGCAAAAUUUCAGCCAUACUUAACUGGAAGCCUCCGAGAAAUGUUACCGAGGUCCGGAGCUUUCUAGGGCUCGCCGGCUAUUACCGACGAUUUGUCAAAGGUUUCUCGAUGAUAGCCACACCAAUGACGAAGCUACUUCAGAAGGAUGUUAAGUUCGAAUGGACGGAGAAAUGUCAGAAAAGCUUCGAUCAACUGAAAACUCAUCUGACUGAAGCUCCAAUUUUGGUGCAACCCGAAUCGGGUAAAGAGUUUGUUGUUUAUAGUGACGUAUCCCUACUCGGGUUGGGUUGCGUAUUGAUGCAAGAAGGUCGAGUUGUGGCCUAUGCGUCGAGACAAUUGAAGCCACACGAAAGAAAUUAUCCGACCCAUGAUCUCGAACUAGCCGCCAUUGUGUUUGCAUUGAAAAUAUGGCGACAUUAUUUGUUUGGUGAGAAGUGCCAUGUGUUUUCGGAUCACAAAAGUCUCAAAUAUUUGAUGACUCAACGAGACUUGAAUCUGCGACAAAGACGUUGGCUUGAGUUGUUGAAAGAUUACGAGCUUGUCAUUGAUUACCAUCCGGGAAAGGCUAAUGUGGUUGCGGACGCCUUAAGCCGGAAAUCACUGUUUGCUUUGCGAGCGAUGAAUGUACACUUGUCUGUUCUACCUGACAAUGUGUUAGUAGCUGAAUUAAAAGCCAAACCAUUAUUGACUCAUCAAAUUCGUGAAGCUCAGAAAGUCGAUGAUGAAUUGGUUGCAAAACGAGCUGAGUGUGUUCCGAACAAGGAAUCGGAGUUUCAGAUUGAUGAUGAUGGUUGUUUGAGGUUUAGAAGUCGUUUGUGCAUUCCAAGGAAUUCAGAACUCAUUCCGAUGAUUCUGAACGAAGCCCAUUGUGGCCGAAUGUCAAUUCACCCGGGGAGCACGAAAAUGUACAACGACUUGAAACGUCGGUUUUGGUGGCAUGGUAUGAAGCGAGACAUCUCCGACUUUGUUUCGAGAUGUUUAAUAUGUCAACAAGUGAAAGCGGAACAUCAAGUGCCUUCAGGAUUACUUCAGCCGAUCAUGAUACCCGAGUGGAAAUGGGACCGAGUGACAAUGGACUUUGUGUCCGGACUGCCAUUGUCCGCAAGUAAGAAGGAUGCGAUUUGGGUUGUUGUUGAUAGGCUGACUAAGUCGGCUCACUUUAUCCCCGUGCGUACGGAUUUUUCAUUGGAUAAACUAGCCGAAUUGUAGGUUACUCAGAUUGUGAGAUUACAUGGAGUACCUAUUUCUAUCGUGUCGGAUAGAGAUUCGAGAUUCACCUCGCGAUUUUGGAAGAAAUUGCAAGAAGCUUUGGGUACCAAGCUGCAUUUUAGCACCGCUUUUCAUCCCUAAACCGAUGGUCAAUCCGAGCGGAUAAUUCAGAUACUCGAGGAUAUGCUGAGAUGCUGCAUCCUUGAGUUUAGUGGUUCAUGGGAACGGUAUGUACCUUUGAUUGAAUUCGCUUACAACAAUAGUUUUCAAUCAAGUAUUAAGAUGGCACCUUACGAGGCUUUGUACGGUCGUAAAUGCCGAACGCCAUUGUUUUGGACCGAGCUCGGUGAAAGUAAAAUUUUCGGAGUUGAUUUGAUUAAAGAUGCCGAACAGAAAGUAAAGGUAAUCCGUGAAAGUCUGAAGGUAGCCACAGAUCGUCAAAAAUCGUAUGCGGAUCUGAAACGGAAGGACAUUGAAUAUCAGGUGGGAGAUAAAGUGUUCCUCAAAGUUUCGCCUUGGAAAAAGGUACUCAGGUUUGGCCGUAAAGGCAAGUUGAGCCCGAGAUUCAUUGGGCCGUACGAAAUUUCCGAACGAGUGGGGCCGGUUGCAUAUAGAUUGAUUUUGCCUCCUGAACUUGAAAAGAUUCACGACGUCUUUCAUGUUUCGAUGCUUCGGCGCUAUAGAUCUGAUCCUUCGCACAUAAUUAGUCUGUCGGAGGUUGAAAUUCAGGCUGAUAUGAGCUAUGAAGAAGAACCGAUUCGUAUCCUAACUCGUGAAGUGAAAGAGUUGCGAAAUAAAAGGGUUCCGUUGGUUAAGGUGUUGUGGCUUAAACACGGGAUCGAGGAAGCAACCUGGGAAACCGAGAGCUCGAUGAAAGAACGAUACCCAAACCUAUUUACCGGUAAGAUUUUCGGGGACGAAAAUUUCUUAUGUGGGGGAGAGUUGUGACAACCCAAAUUAGACCCUGGUCGGAAUGUGGUUUCGAGACCACAUUACCGAGCCAAAAAUUUAUUUUCGUGUUUUAAUUGCAUAAAUUGUUGUGUGACAGUGAAUGUAUGAGAAAUUAAAUGCUUAAUAUUAGCAUUAGGAUUGUGAAUUCAUUCAAAAAGGACCUAGUUGACGAAGUUAGAAAAGAUGAUAGAUGAAUUAUAAGGAUUAAUUAAUAAUAGGUUGAGGAAGCAUGGCUUUGCAUGUCAAUUUGCCCAUAAAAUUCAUGGUGGCCGGCCAAGGAGUGAUGAUGCUCCACUCAUUCUAAUUUAAUAUGUUUCUUUGGUGAACAAAUGAUGGGGAUAAUAAUAAAAAAGGGAACAAAAAAAAAUGGGUGUCAUACUUGCCAUCUCCUAGCCGAAAAACCAAGAAAAAGAAGGGGAGAAAAGAACUUGGAAGGAAUUCGGCCAUUGCUUGUGCCUAGGGAGAGUGUUUGAUGUUGUGGCAUGAAAAAUGAGGGAGUUUGAAUGCUUAAUAAGGAGGGAAGAAGGAGUGUUCAUAUUUUCUUUCUUUUGCAAUUGUUCUAACUAGAGGAAGAAGAGGAAGCAAGAUUCGGCCAAGGUGGUCCUUUAGACCAAGGUAUGUUCAAUGAUAUUUUUGGAAGCUUACCCUACCUUUGGGGUGAUGAGUCUAGAUUCUAUCUAUUCCAUGGUUGGAUUUGGGGUUGUUGGAGAGUUAGGAUUCGGCUAAGGAGUUUAAAAAUAAAAGCUAGUUGAUACCUUGAUGCUAUUAGCAUGCUAGUUAUAUGGUUGUGUUAAGUUGCUUGUUAUGUUAGCAUGAAAGUUGAAAAUUGUUAAGCUAUUUUGUUGGAGGUGCCGAACUUAGGACUAGGAAGAGAAUGAGUAUUCGGCUAACAUAGUGGAAAGGUGGUGUUGCCGAUUGCUAGAUUUAGACUAGGGGAGUGGCUGUAAUGGGCAUUAAGAUGUGGGACUUAAGAAAUGUAGUUAUAUGUGGACUUACAUGAUGUUACAAAUAGAUGUGAAAAUAUGCUAGAUUAGGAAAACUCGAUUAAGUGUUCAUGAGAUGAAAUUAGGUGUUUAAAUGAUGUUAUAGUUGACAUUGUACAUGUAUACAUGCAUUUCGGCCAUGGUCUUUGCUUGAAUUUGAGAUUUGUAAUGUGAUUUUCCUAAAUUGUCUAUGAAUUUUUGGUUGUUGAUUCCAUGGUAAUGGUAUAUUGAAUCCAUGAAAAUUUAGUAAGGUUGCAUUCGGCAACUUGCUUGGAAUUAAAAAUUGAUGUCUAAGCUUAGGUGAUUUCGAUGAUGAUAUAUAUAUAUAUUCAUAAGUAUAUUUAGUUGAUUCGGCUUUGGUAGUUGCAUGAGGCUAUUGGCCGAAUAUACUAACAUACAUAUACAUGUGAAAUUGGAUUGUAAAUAUUUAGCAAGGUGGUUAAACUAGUUAAAUUAUUGAUUUAGCUCAAGGAGUUAAAGGAGGUGAAUCGAGCAAAGGCAAAGAAAAGGUUAUCGAGUAGCCGAGUUGGAACCGUCUUACCCAACACGAGGUAAGUCAUUAAGCAUGUAGUGGGUAUUAUUUCAAAUGGUCAUAAUGUGUAUGUAUUGAUGCUGAUUGGAAUGAAUAAAUAUACAUAUAUAUAUAUGCAUGUACGUAUGUGAUGAUGAAAUUGUUGAAUGAGUGAAAAGAGGUAAGAUGUACUGAGUUGUUGAUCUCGGCACUAAACGUGCGGGAUAACCAUUUAUGACCAUGAGAUUGGCGCUAAGUGCGCGGGAUUAAAUUGUACAGCACUAAGUGUGCGAUUCGACUAUGUUGCACUAAGUGUGCGAAAUGAAUAUGAUGCACUAAGUGUGCGAAUUGACCAUGCGGCACUAAGUGUGCGAGUCUAACUAUGUAGCACUAAGUGUGCGAUUUGAUUACGUGGCACUAAGUGUGCGAGUUGAUUGUAUAGCACUGAGUGUGCGGGCUCAAUAUACAUUCGUGAAUCAUUAUGGACACUAUGUGUGCGACACUAUUGAGUCGAUCGCGGACAGCGGGUCGGGUAAGUGUCUUGAGCACGUGGUUAAUAGGUGCUAUGCUUAUACUUGGUGUUGAGCUCGGUAAGUUCGAACCUAUGUGACAUAUAUACUUGAAGUCACGUACAUAAAAUUUAUCGUAGGAUGGGUGAAAGGCCGUAUAGUCGUUUGAUUGUAACGAAAAUAAAUUGAUUUAUGAAAUUGCUUCAAUGUCCUAUUGAUGAGUAUAUAGAAUGUGAAUGCAUGAAUUGAUAUGAAAUUGAAUUGAGAGGUUGGAGGAACUAUGGUAUGGUUCGGUAUGGAUGGAGUAAAUUGUCUCGUUCUAUUUUGUUUCCUCUUGUGAUAAUGUUGUCGAUAGAUGGUAGUGCAUUGCUUAUGACUUACUGAGUUAUAAACUCACUCGAUGUUUCCUUGUCACCCAUUAUAGGUUGCUUGGACUCAUCUAUUUUUGCGGGGUCGGGCCGUCAUCGAAGUCAUCACACCGGAUAGCAAGUUUUGGUACUUUCUUCUUAGUGUGUUUAGAAGAUCAUUUUGGCAUGUAUAAGCUAGUACGUUGUGUUUGAAUUAUGGCAUGUAAACUUUAAGCCAUGCGAAAAUGGCACGAAUGUUCGAUUGAAUUGGAUCAAGGGUAGACAUGAAAUGGACCUAGUUACUUUCGUAACAGAUGCUGGCAGCAGCAGUGUCAUGAGAUUGAAAAAUCACUAAAAAUAGUAGGAGUGGAAUUAAUUGAUGAAUAAAUUAUGUAAUCGAAGCUCGAUGAGUCUGCUUUCAUGAGGAGGUAACGAAAAGAUCAUAUGGGCAGUAUAUUAAGAGAUAAUCAGAUUUUAGUGGGACAGGGCCAGAACGGUUUCUGGAUUCCCUGCUCCGACUUUGGAAAUUCAUUAUAAAUUAACCAGAGAUAAUUAGGGGUCGUACCACAUAUGUACAGAUUCCUCUCUAAGUCUAGUUUUCAUAGAAACAAACGGAAACAGAAUUGAAGCCCCGUGCAGGGAGAUAUCCAAGUCGUAAUGGGCAAAGGUCAGUGUAGUCGACCCCUGCAACUUGGGAGACUUUGACUAAUAAACUGUACUAAUUGGCCCGACCAAAAAUUCUAGAAAAAAAUACAUAGAUGGGCACAUGAGUCUAGUUUCGGGGAAAAAUUACGAAACUGAUUUUUGAGUUACGAAACUCAAGAUAUGAUUUUUAAAACGACUAGUACACAGAUUGGGCAGUGUCUGGAAAAUAAAUUUUGUAAGGGGUUAAAGCCAGUUAACACCUCGUGUUCGACUCCGGUGUCGGUUUCGGGUUCGGGGUGUUACAAAAUGUUUCUAUGCAAGAAAGAGUAAAGAGUGAAAAAAUUGGUGGCUGGAUAGUGGUGGAGCGCCGACAACGGAGGUUGACCAAGAGGAGCAGAGCCGGUUUGAAUGAUAAUCAAGAAAAGAAUCUUAGCAGAUCAAGAUUAAUGCUUUCACGAGUUUAGGAGAUGAUGUUGGAGAGAUUUAAAUAGGAAAUACUUGAAUAUUUAAGUUUGCAAAGAAAAAUAAUUCUCAAGCAAAUUUUUUGGUGGAAUCUUUGGGAGUAGCUAAAGGAAAGCUUUUAAAAAAAUAAAGGCAAAGAAAUCUUUAGGAAAUCAAAUGAAGGGACACUAGUAGUAAACAAAGCAAAGGUAAAGGCCUGGUGAAGAGUCAAGCCCAAAGUAAAAUAUAGUACCUAAAGCAACCUUUGGUGGGCUCGGUUGGAGGUAAAAUCAAUAAUGGGAAACUGGAAAGAAAUAAAUUAGGGCAAGGGUCAGGAUUGAUGGGCCUGACAGAUAGGUCAGAUGGAGUACCUUCAUUGUUUAAUUUUUCAGAUUACAAAAUCGAAAUGGGUUUAGAUCAUACCCACCAUAUAGUUAUCUUUGUUGAGGAGAAUCAGUUCCCAAUUUUAGCAGUUAGGAAUAAAUAAGCUCUUGAUUCUGAUAUUGUUAUCCAUAAUCUGAUACCUUCAUCUUUUCUUCCACCAGAUUCGAAGAAGAAAUUAUCCAAUUAUGCUUUAAGAUUAGGUCAUAGGAGAGAAAAUCGUGAUCAGUCUGAAGUCAAUGAGUCAACCCCAGUACAACAAGCUAUCUAGGGGAUUAUUGAUAGAUUGAAACUAUAAACCGAGAAUGAUAAUUGAUCUUCCACGAUCUAGGUUGUUAUUUACAUACCUUUUUCACUAACUUUAACCUGUUUAAUAGCUAAAUCAAGUGAUUUUAGUAUAUAUUUAUGUUUUUAUAUUUGGAUUAUCCAGUAAUUUUUAUUACACUUUAGAUAAUUAAAUAAAGUUACAUGGCCAUGUAGGUCAAACCGAGAGUUAAAAAUUACUAUCUAGGCUGAAACUAUUGCCAACGUCGCAACACUAAAGAUAGAAGCAAUUAAGGACAAAAGAGGGGGUGAUAUCGCGAUGAUGCAACAUUUACUCGGUUAAAUCAGCUGCGUUUUUUUUACAACCUAGCAGGGUUCGCUUCCCAAUCGACAUCUAUGUACUUCACCUAUUUAAUCACCUAGAACUAAUUCUCAACCUUUAAACUACCACAAAGCUAUUCAAUUCAUCUUAUCAAAAUUUUUGACAUGUUUAUGGCAAUUUUCAUGAAAAUUCGUUAAAUCCUUAGAAAUCCUUAAAAAAAACUUUAAAAUCAGUUUAGAAACCUUCUAAUCAUGUCAAAAUUAAUUGAAUAACACUUUGAAAUCACGUUUUUACUCAAAAAUUUGAAAUACACCAUUAACGACCUAAUUUUCGACUUUUAAUCAAAACAUGCAAUUUAAUGAUUAAAAACUCAUCUUUAAAGACUACAUAAUAUCUGAAACUGAUAGAAAGGCAAAAGGUUACCUUCGAUGGAAGAAAAAUGAACUUUUAACGUGAAUCUUAGAAAACCCACAAGUGAGGAAGAUGAUGAAAUCAAUGAGAUUUUGGGGUGUUUUCUUGAAAUAUUAUGUAGAUAAUGACUUAAGUGAUGAUAGUAAUCAAAAGGAUGAUGAUUUAACAAAGAAAAUCGAAGAUGAGAGGUUAGGAGAUUAAGGGACGACACAAACUAGCAAAAAAGAAGAGUUGUGACACCCCUAAAGUGACCCUAGUCGGAAAGCGGUCUCGGGACCGCUAGACCGAGUCACCAAAUUAUUUGAAUGUGAUAAUUAUUGCCUAAAAUAUGUGAAUGUAAAUGUGUGAAAGUUUUAAGCUUCGAUUUAGUUAAUUGCAUGUGAAUUUAGUUGAUAGGACUUAUGUGAGAAAAUUUAGAAAUGUGCUAGGCAAAUGCAAGUGGCCUAAUAGUGCAUGUAAUCAAAGGGGUGGACUUGCAUGUCAAUUUCCCCCUAUUUAAGUACUAGUGGCCGGCCAUGACAAGGGAUGAUGGGCAAAACAUGUCAUGAAACAUGUUGUGUUAAUGGAAAAAUAAAAUAAGAAGCAUGGGCAAAACAUGUCAUGAAACAUGUUGUGUUAAUGGAAGAAUAAAAUAAGAAGUAUGGGCAAUAAACUAAUAAGAAAUUGAAGGAAGAAAACAAAGAGAAAAAAAAUGUGUUCAUCAUUCUCAUGCAUGACCAAAAAAAAAGAAGAAGAGAAAAGCUCUCAUGUUGUUCUUGGCCGAAUAGGAGAAAGAAAAAGAAGGAAAAAGAGCUUUGAGGAAAUCGGCAAUGGUGGUUUGAUAGACUAAGGUAUGUUUGAUGAUGUUCCAUGAGAUGCAUGCAUGUUUUAGUAGUUAGCUUGAGUUCUAAAUAGCCCAUGGUUCAAAUCUUUACUAUGUCAUGGAGAUGAUAUUCGGCCAAGGUGGAUUGGUGUUGAUAUCAUUUGCAUGCUAAAAGGUGGCCAUAUGACCUAUCAAACUCCUUGUCAUAUUCGGCCAUAAGCUAGCAAAAUGAGACUUUAAUGAGUUAAAUUUGUUUGAAUUAACCUCAAGAGCAAAGGGGAACUAAAUCCGAUAAAGGGAAGGAAAAAGUGGUCGAAUAGCCGCCGAAAUCGUUCGACAACAUCCGAGGUAAGUUUUAAGUGAUUAAACGUUGAGUAAAUUCAAUCAUAAUAGGACAUAAUGAGUUGAUUUAAUAAGAUAUGAUGUGGCCAUGAUAUGUCUUAAACUCAAAUGGUAAGUUCAUAUGUGUUUGGACUUGGAUAUUUAAGAGCAAAUUGUAAUAAUUUGCUUUGGACAACAGCAGUAACGUGAUUUUAGAAAAUCACUAUAAAUUGUUGGUGUGGAAUUAUAGGCUGAAUAAAAUAUGUAAUCAAGGCUUAAUUAGUCUAGUUUCUUAUAAAAGAGACCUUGUGAGCAAAGAAAUUUCCUAUAAAGAGAUAUUUAAAGUUGUGUGAGACGGUGUCAGAAUGACUCCGAAAUCCCCUGUUCUGUUUUUAGAAAAUCAUUAUAAAUUGUAAAAAAAUGGUUAUAAGAUAAAAUUUAUAUUCUUAGACUCCUUAAUGAGUCUAGUUUCAAAUGAAAUCAAAUACAACACAUUUUGAAUUCUGUAAAAUGAUAAAUUUGAUUCGUAGUGAAGAGUGGUCAGAUUAGUCAAACAGUGAAACAGGGGAAACUUUAAGAAAAAUCUGGUAUUGAUUGGCCAAACCUAAAAUUCUGGAAAUUUUAUGGAUGGAAGAUAUACGAGUCUAUAUUCAGGAAAAAUUAACGGCAAGUGAUUUGGAGUUUUGUAGCUCCGGUUAUAAAUAAUUUAGUGACCAUUGCUCAGGAAAAUAGCUCGUAGUGAAUAUGUGAUUUUGUUGUAAACAUGGAUAAAACUUGUUUUAGUUGCUCAUAAGCUAUUGAUUAAACCCAUACUUGAAUUCUAAAUCGUGAUAUUGUAAGCUUAUGAGUAUUCGAAUAUGAAAUGAUAGUAUGGCGUAAAAUUGAAUUAUUCAUUGGAAAGUGAUGGAUGUAGAUUCGGCCAAGACCAAGUCUGUACAUGAUAGUAUAUGUGGUAUGUGAAGUAUAUUUGAAUAAAUGUGAAAGUGUAUAUAUGUGAUAAGGCCUAAAUGCCAAUGUGAUGAAUGUGAAAGUGUAUAUAUAUGUGAUAAGGCCUAAUGGCCAAUGUGAUGAAUGUAAAAGUGUAUAUAUAUGUGAUAAGGCCUAAUGGCCGAUGUGAUGAAUGUGAAAGUGUAUAUAUGUGAUAAGGCCGAAUGGCCAAUGUGAUGAAUGUGAAAGUGUAUAUAUAUGUGAUAAGGCCUAAUGGCCGAUGUGAUGAAUGUGAAAGUGUAUAUAUGUGAUAAGGCCGAAUGGCCAAUGUGAUUAAUGUGAAAGUGUAUAUAUAUGUGAUAAGGCCGAAUGGCCAAUGUGAUGAAUGUGAACAUGUGUAUGUGUGAUAAGGCCGAAUGGCCAAUGUGAUGAAUGAGAACAUGCAUAUAUGAGAUAAGGCCGAAUGGCCAAUGUGAUGAAUGUGAACAUGUGUAUGUGUGAUAAGGCCGAAUGGCCAAUGUGAUGAAUGUGAACAUGUGUAUGUGUGAUAAGGCCGAAUGGUCAAUGUGAUGAAUGUGAACAUGCAUAUAUGAGAUAAGGCCGAAUGGCCAAUGUGAUGAAUGUGAAAGUGUAUAUAUGUGAUAAGGCCGAAUGGCCAAUGUGAUGGAUGUGGAAGUGUAUAAAUGUGAUAAGUCCCGAAGGGCAAUUGUGUCAGUACUAUAUCCGGGUUAAAACCCCGCAGGCUUUAUGCGAGAAUAUUAUCCUGAUUAAUGUCCGUAGGCUUCGUGCUCGUACUAUAUCCGAGCUUUAAAGACCCGACGGCUAAAUGCUAGGAUUCAAGUAAGACUUUGAUAUUGAGUAUCUGCAUUAAGUUACCAUCAAAUAAGUAUUAUGUAUUCAAGAUGUUCAGGUACGUAUUACUUACUCAUCGGUGGAGUGAUUUCGAGGUGAAUUAUCAGUAUCAAAGAUGUAGGUAAAUGUGAUUAAUAUUAUAACUCCAAAUGUGAGAAUGAUCUAAUUGGUAAUGGUAUGUUUGUAUAAUAAAGUAUGCGAUGAAAUAUUCUUAUGUAUUAGUGCAUAUUCUGCCCAAAAGCCUUAUGAUCUGAGUAUGGGUUGGGUUGAGCUAGAUGUGCCAGUACAAGGUAAGGAUUAUGAUUUGUAAGCUUACACAUAUGUGAUAAGGAAUAUGUUGGUUCUUUAUGUGCCUAUGGUAAUUUAGUACUUGUCAUGUAGAAAUACUUAAAAGUAUGGAUGUGAUUAUGAACAAGUGGAAAGGAUUAUUGAAAGUUGAAAAUCGAUGAAGAAUGUGCUUUGGAAAUAUUUGACCAUCUAGGUCAUUAUUACUCAAAAGUAUAUAUGUGGCAGCCAAGUGUUGCGUUUAAUGAUAUUAUAGAUCGAGAUGAAGCUCUAGAUUAACUUCAUCGAACAGUUGAAAUGAAUGACCAAUGAUAGUGAUUGAGAACACUUUGUUUUGCUUAAAACUUACUAAGCAUUAAAUGCUUACUCCGUUCUUUGAAUCUCUGUUUUAUAGAUUUUGGUUCGUCAGCUAUCGGACUCGGGAUUAUUGAAGUCGAAGUCGCCCACACUAUCAAAACCCUUUUGGUACACUUUUGGUUGAACUCUGAAAAUGGCAUGUAUAGGACUACCCUUUUGUUGUUGGUCAUGUACCCUUCGGUUUUGUAUAAUUUUGGAUAGCCAUGCGAAAAUGGCUUAUAUAUGUUUGAGCAUAAUGUUAUAAUCAUUUGGUAUGGAUAUGGUUAUUGAGAGGUGUGGAUAUGCUUAACAAGGAUUGGCCAUGGGAAUGGUUAAUCAUUAUCAUAAUUUGUGCUAUUUAUGCUAAAAGGGCUAGUUGAAUCAUGGGAACUAUGAAAUAGGUAAAGUCUACCUUAAAGGCAGAUGCUGACAGCAGCAGUGAUGUAGAUUUGGAAAAUCACUAAAAAUAGUAGGAAUGAAAUUAAAUAGUGAAUAAAUUAUUUAAAUGAACCUUGAUGAAUCCACUUUCAUAUAGAAGAAACGAAACGGUCAUAUGAGUGGUAUGUUAAGAGAUAAUUAGGUUUUCGUGAAACAGGGCCAGAACAGUUUCUAGAUUCCCUAUUCCGAAUUUGGAAAUUCAUUAUAAAUUAAACAGAGAUAAUUAGGAGUCAUUCCAUAUAUGUAUAGAUUCCUCUCUGAGUCUAGUUUCUAUAGAAACAAACGGCAUCAGUAUUGAAGCCCUGUACAGGGAGAUAUCCAAAUUGUAAUGCAUGAAGGUCAGUGUAGUCGCACCCUGUAACAGGGGACACUUUAACUAAUAAACUGUACUAAUUGGCCCGACCAAAAAUUCUAGAAAACAAUAUGUAGAUGGAAAUAUGAUUCUAGUUUCAGGAAAAAAUCACGAAACUGAUUUUCGAGUUGUGAAACUCAAGAUAUGAUUUUUAAGGUGACAGCGACACAGUUAGCCAGCUGUCUGGAAAUUUUUAAAAUGGACUGCGAUAGUAAGCGAAUUUAGUCUGUGAACCCCUCGUGUCCGACUCCGGCAACGGUCUCGGGUACGGGGCGUUACAAGAGUUAACGUGAAAUCUAUAGGUAAGGGAUGAUUUUAAGUUGUAUUUCUAAAAUUUGGUAAAGCUGCUUCAUAAACACACAAAAUUUUGAUCCUUUUAUAAAUCAACAAUUAUUUCAAAAUUAAAUGCCUUUUCAGUAUUAUUUUCAAAAAUUAGUUUAAUUUUCAAAAUAACACAGACAAAAACAUUUACGAUUACCAUGCUUACAAAAUUUCGAGCACACUAAAGCUAAAAUCCCUAAAAUACCCCUAAAACUCCAAGGUCCUAUUUUAGGGUGUUAUAUUAUGUAUAAUGCCCGGUUGAACAUAUCGCUAGGAUAUGAUAGGCAUGCCAAUAGGGUUAGUAUGCGCGCUAGUAGGAGAUUGCACUUCAAUGCCCCUAUUUGAACUUCAAUGUCUCUGAUUGCACAAUCAUGCCUCUACCUGCACUUCGAUGCCUCUGUUACGUAUCUAUGAUGCUUUGGGUGUGGUGUAGUUACCCGAGUAUCUGAGUUGAGUACUUAGUUCAUCGGGCUAAAUGUUAACGAAAUGUACAAUUGACUUGUGGACUUAAAUGUUUAUGUAUAUUCAAGAUAUUAGAAAGUGUUAGUGUUCAGUGAACUACUUAUUUAUAUGUGAGUACAUUUACAUUGAUGAAAUUUUGUUUAUGGAACUGAUAAGUCAUUUAAGAAGAGGGUUAUCAUUAUAUAUUUUGAUAUGUGAUCAGGAACUAAUGUAGGUUGUGAAUGUGUAUUUGGCUAUCAAAAAUUAUAAAUUAUCUCUUUAUAUUUUGAUGUCCAUUAAGGUAACUUAGUUUGAUGUUUUAGACUAUGAGCUUACUAAGCUUCUUUAUCUUGUUUCAUUUAUGUUCUUUUGUAGUUUUCAAGUUUGCGGACUGACCGGAUGGAUCGACUGGACGCUCACACUAUCCAGCUAUUUUGGUAGUUGUUGCUUUCUAUUUUGGGAUAUGGCAUAUAUAUAGAUGUUUUGUUGUAAUUAUGUAAAUGCUAUGCUAAAUUUGUGUUCCUAGUGAAAUGCUUGGUUUGAAUGUGUAUGUUUAAAGUGUUUUUUUGGUUGGGUUCAUUCCUAAUGGUCAAGAGUUAGAUGUUAACACUUUGGAAUGGUGAAAUUUGAAUAUGUUUAUAGUUUGGUCAAUUUGGUUUAUGGAUUGACCAUGAAUAGAUGAUUAAUGCUAUGUGAUUACUUAGCUAGGUUAGUUGAGUGAAUGAUCUUUGAUUGUGGUGCCUUUGAAUGGCCUAUUGGUUUGGUAUAGGAUGAAUGAAUUUUUGGCAUAUAAUUGAUGAUUUGAAUGUGUUUUUGAACCUAGGAAAUGAUCUAGAUAUGGGAUGUCUUGUUGUGCAAGGAAUGGUGCAUGACUUUUCUUAAUUUAAGGGUUAAAAAUGAUGUAUGCGGCUUGGGACAUAGGCUGUCACACGAUCGUAUGCCACACACGGUCACCUUACACAGUCGUAUGUAUUAUUUGUUUUUUAGGUGCAAUAUCCACACAGCCAAGCACAUGGCCUACAACAUGACCGUGUGAGUGAAAACAAUUUAUUACACAUUCUAACAUAUAGCCUGCAACACGACCGUGUAACCUAACUUGAAUACACACACAGUCUGGCACACGGCUGUGUGGCCCUAUUUCAAAUGUUCACACGGGCUGAUACACGAGCUAGGACACUAUCGUGUAUCCUGACUUCAAAUGUUCACAUGGCUGUGUGACUCUUUUUUUGAAAAUUUUCAAGUUUUUCUAAAUUUUUCUGAUUUGUUUCAAUUUAACCGCAAAUUGUUCUCAAACUAUUUUUAGGGCCCUGUAAGCUCAAAUUAAGGCCCAUAAGUGUAUUUAUAUCCCGAAUUGAUUUAUUUGUUAUGUGUUUGCAAUUUAUUUGGUUAACUAUAGUGAAUUGAAGUGAAAUGUUCUGUUUAGUUCGGUAACACUUCAUAACCUUAAUCUGGCAACGAAGACGGGAUGGGGUGUUACACUAACAUUGUAGGAAGGCAUCCAACUAAAAGCACUUUCUUGCUCAAUCAGAUGAAAAUGCGUCCAGUUGGACGCGUUUUCAUAUUCUCUCUCCUAGACCAGGUUUAAGGAUUUUUAGGGUUUUAAAGGGUUUUUAGGGUAUUUAUCUUUUAAGGUUGGAAAUAUGGAGAGAUUGAUUUAAUGGUAUUCGGGUUUGAGGUAGAAAUUGUAAAAGCUUAAAGGUAUAUUCAAUUGACGGUGAUGCGAUAGCAUUGGGAUACCUACUAUAAUAUCCUUAAAUCGGGUCUAGUAGUUUCAGGCAUAUUUUUCGGGUUCCGAGUGUGAGUUUAGAAAUUUAUCGGGUUAAUAGUAAGUUUUUUAAUUUAAUAUAGGAGGUUAAUUUUAUCUAAACUCGAUUAAACAAUAAUCUAGAAAAAUAAAAAUAUUUUUGGAAAAUUAAUUUUAAAGUAAUUAAAUAAUUAUUAGUGAAAAUAAUUAAUUUGGGUCGAAAAAGAAUUUUAAAAUAAUUUUUAUUGGGGUUAAUUUGAGUUAAAUUUAAAUAUUAAUUAAAUUAGUUUUAAUUGUAAAAUACGAUAAAUUUGGGAGUAUUUAUUUGAAAAAUAAACCUUUAAAUUCGGAAUUUUGGAGGGAAAUGAUCAAUUGGUAAAGUAAGGGAAAUGUGGGAGUGACCAUUGGGCAAAUUUCUCAAUUUUUAAAUUUUUGGUGGGUUGUUUCAGUUUUAAAUACAACGCAUCUAUCUUACUUUUCACGCCAUUUACAUUAGAUUAGAGAGCUAUAAAAUUUGUUUUCUUUGCAUGAUUUUAAGGAUCUAUCAUCAGACAAUAGAUUUGGCAAAUUUUCUUCUCAAAAUACUCUCUUUUCACCUGAAAUUAUUCACAAAAGGAGCCAAAAAUAUUCUAAAAUUCCUUAAGAUUCUUGAACCAAAAUUUUCAAUCAAAGGAUUUAGAACGAAUCAAAGGUAAUUAUCAUUUCUAAACUUAUUUUUAUGAUGAUUAGAAGCAUAUUAACAUGAUUUGAGUGAUAAUUAUAUGAUUUUUUUUUGUCAAUGUCAUCUUCUUCAAAAGCUUAAGGGCUUUAAUGGUGGAUCUUGAAUUUUGAGAGAAAAUCCACAAAUCAAUGGAUGUUCCAACUCAAAAUGGAUCUAUUAAAAGGUUUUUGAUCUUAUUUAUCAAGAUUAAACAUGUUUUAUAAGGUAAUUUAAAGAAAUUCGAAUUUUAUCAUAUUCAUGAACUAAUUUUCUGGAAUUUAGUGAAAUUGAUUUAAAUGUGAAAUUGAUGCUUAGUAUAUGUUUAUUUGGUCAAGUAUUGAUGUUCGGAAGUGAUUAAGAAGGUUGGAGUGAUCGAUUUUGUGAGGACUCGAGUUUUCGACUUGAUGAUACAAAUCUGGUAAGGUAACUUUGAGUGAGAAUUUCAUGUAGCCUAGUGGAUGAAAAUUUGUGUUUAUUAUAUCUUUUAAAAGUGGUAAUAUCUAUUUUAUCUGUGUUGAAGCUUCAAAUCUUGAAAAGGAUCAAGCUAAUUGAAAUUGAAGCUUAGAUUUGCUUGGUUGAUCACUUGGUUGUGGUUGAGUUAGUUGUGUGGCGAAUGUUAUUAAAAGGCGAUUUGGUAAAUUGACCCUCAGUUAUGCUUAAUUGGUUUUGGUUAAUUUUGAGUUUUGGUUGGUUAAUUUUGCAAGAUUAUUGAUAUACGUUUAAGUGAUAAUUUUUUUUAAGUGUUGGUAAGAGAGUGUUGAAACCAUUUUUGAAUUUAAAAAAUAGGUAUCGAUUUUAAAAACGAAACAUGGAGUUGCCACCAAUCCUUUUUUAUUUAGGUGUGAUCGGAUCACCUAAUAAAAUUUUUUAUUAAAGUAUUGAUCUUGGCCUACGAAAGUUAAAAGACGGGUUCGGGGAUCGGUUACGCACGAGGAAGGAUUAACACUCUCACAUUGCCCAAAAUUGGUACCUAAUUGAUUGAUUAAUGUCCUAAUGUAGAAAAUUAGAAAAGGUUUUAAAAUACAAUCCUGUUUAAAAAUGGUUGAAUAUACUUGAAUUGGAUGCUAAGACUCCCUUGUCCCGAAGGAAUAAAAUAUCAUACCCAACACGUUAGGGUACAAUAUUUCAAACCCUCGAUACCAAGAUCAUCUUAUGAUUUCUAAAAUUCAUGCACUGAAAUUUUAAAAGGAUAUUCGGUUAUUUGGUCAAACGACAAAUCGACACCCAGCACAUUAGGGUACGAUUUCUCGAACUUCCAAACACGAAAUAUUGCCUUGUUUUCUAAUUGAAGAAAUCACAAACGGAAUUUUAAAAAGGGUAUUUGGUCAUUUGGUUAAACAGAAAAUUGAAACCCAGCACGUUAGGGCAUGAUUUCUCGAAUUUACAAACAUGAAAUAUUGCCUUAUUUUGAGAACUUUUUAAAUAGGAGCAAUUAUAAAAACGGACUUGAAAUAUAUUUAUUCAUUUUUUUUGAAGUAAAGAAAAUGAAAUGAAUGAUUCUAGGCAAAUAAGUUGGCAAUUUCAACCAUAAUACAAUACAUGGAAAUGAAAAACAAAAUACAAAUAUGGAAAACAUACAUGAAUAACAUAUUAUACAAAUUAUGUAAAUCAAAACACACCCAAUGAUAAUAAUCUUACAACAUACACGAUUUAACAUUUCUAAAUAAAUAAAAAAUCUAUUCAAACAAUGAAACAAAAAAACUUUUAAAAGGUGAUGAACGGUGUUAAAAAAAAUAAUGAAAAGGAAGAUAAAUUUGGAAUUGACAACGUAAAAAACAAUUUAAAAAUAAGUUGUAUGUAUAUAGACAAAUGACACAUGCAAAAAUUUGAAUUAAAUUAUAAAAUAAGUAAAUAAUACAUAAAAUAUAAAGUUCAACAUAUAAAUGAAUUCCAAAAUGAUUAUUGUAAGAAGAGAUUUAAAAUAAGUGCUAUACAAAACAACUUAAAACUAAAAUAAAUAAAAAUAUAAUAUAAAUUAGGUACAUAAAAAAUGAUAAUGUAUGUCCAUAUAAAAUUUUUAAAACAAAUAAUGUACAUAUUAGAAAGUUUUAAUAUAAAUGAAUUAUAUAAAUACAACCAUAAAAAAUAUACAAAAGAAUAUUUAUGAAUAACAAUCUAUAUAAUAUGAAAUCAAUUGUCAUACAAAGUAAUUUGAAACGAGAUUUAUUCAUCAACAAUUAAUAAUAUACAUAGAGCGAAAGACUUAAUAUAAAUAAUAAUAAUAAUAAUGGAAGGUAGUAAAAUAGAUUUUUAGAAGAAAUAAAUUAUACAUAAAUAGAUUUAAAAGAAAAUAUAAAUAUAUAUAUAUAAAGGGGAAUUCAAAAAUAACAAUUAGAAUAUUGUGAACAUAAUAUAUACAAUAUAAUUCAAACAAUAUAUAUUACGACAAAUAAUAAAUUUUAUAAAGAAUUAUUUAAAAUGAAUAAAAUAAGAAAAAAGAAAUUAAAAUUAAAAAGACUCAAUUGAAAUGAAAAUGACAUCACAUGGAUAAUUUAUAAACAAAUAAAACUAUUAAAAUGGAAUUAAUGACCGAAAUAGAAUACGCAGAAAUGAAUGAGGGGUAAAAAUGAAAAUAUCCCCAGAUCUUAAAACACAACGUUUAGAUGCGGGUUAAAUUGAAACAGUGUACAAAUUCCAAAGAAAAAUUAAAAAAUGCAAAAGAAUUCAAAAUGGGACUCAAUUGAAUAAUAGCACGAAAGAGAGGGACCAAAUGCGCAAUUCACCCAUUUAAGGAAAAAAUGAGUGGACCCUCCCAGUGGGUCGAGUUAAGGCGCGGACCUAGCUCCAAUAAAAAAGGUGCUGUUCCUUUAAUUAUUUAAAUCAAAUUUUUUUGUUUAAAAAAAAUAAUUUUAACCUUUGUCUAAAAAAAACCUAAAACCUUUGAAAUAUUCUCUCAUUUCCUUCCCUAUUCGGUCGGCGCCACUUCUGUCGGAGAUCUGUCGCGCCAUGGCUGCAGAUAGUGGGCCAAGCCUCGUAAAUGGGGUGUUUAACCCCCCCUUUUGAAAAAGAAAUGAAGGCUUAGCCUUCUUGACUCGGGAAGUGAAAGGAAAAAACAAAGUCUGACCCCAAUCGGCUUGGCUCCGAUACCGGCGAUGGGCUUUUGAAAACAUAGACCACUCACGUACCUUCUUUCUUUUCCCUCUUUUCUUUUUUCUUCUUCUUUUAUUGUAAAAACUUAAAUAAUGAAAUCAAAGCUGUUAAUCACCUUUCAAAAAGAAGAAAAAUUGUUUUGAUUUAAUCGAAAAUCUACUUGUAUUUGAAAGAUUUAGAUUCUGCUCUUUAUUUCUCUAUAUCUGUAUUGUAUAUCUGUGAAAAAAAUCCCCCAUUUAUAUUAUAUUCCAUUCAGUUUUAUAUCCGAAAAAAUAAAAGAGAAAAUACAAAUUCCUUGCUGUCAUUUGUGGUUAUUUUGCCAUCAAUUGCUGUUGUGGUUGUUAGUUUGUUGCAGGUGUGUCCAACUGGAGGACUAACAUGGAGGUCAUAGAGGCGCGAAGAAAGCCGUGCGUGGGAGUUGCGGCACAAACUAUUUUCACCUUAGGGUUUCUGGAAUUUUGGGUUAUUGGCUUGGGCCAUUUGGGCUAGUUACGGAGUUAGAUUAUUGUAAUUUGGUCUGUUUGGGGUUUUGGCUUAAAUUUUAUUUUUAGGUUUAUAAGAAAUGGACAAAUUUUAGUGUUUUGAAAUGCUGCUGUAAAUGGACGUUGGAUCCUUUAAAUAAUUUAGUUUAUUAUUAUUUUUUUGGUUUUAUUUUGUGUAUGGGCCCAGGCGAAAUGGGCUUUCUACAGCUGCCACUCUUUGCUUAUUGUCGUGUAACGGGAAUGAAGCAAAGACUUUAAAAGGACCAAUUUUGACCAGUCUUGCUAAAUCUUAACCUCUUGGCACUUUUUUUCUUCUAGUAGCCCUAUUCUAUCCCACUGCGUCUUUAGGGGGUAUAAGAAAUAGUACUUUAAUCUACUCUACUGGAAUUUCAAAGAGAUAAGAAUCGGUGAUUUCAACCUGCUUCACUACGAUCUCAGGGAGAUAAAGUUAAUGACUUGAAUCUGCUUUCCUGCUUCCUUGGGAAUAUAAGAUUCGCUGUCUGCUCUCUUGCUACCUCAAGAAAAUGAGACUACAAUCUCCAGCCUGCUCCCUUGCUACCUUAGGGAGAUAAGGCUAGUGGCUAAAAUCUGCUCCCCUGCUACCUCGGGAAGAUAAGAUUCGCCAUUUUUGAUCUGUCCCAUUGUUAUCUCAAGGAGACAAGAUCUACAUCAUCAGUCUGCUUCCUUGCUACCUCAGAAAGAUAAUACUACAAUCUUCAACAUGUUCUCUUGCUACCUCAGAGAGAUAAGGCUGGUGGCUAAACUCUACUCCCCUACUACCUCGGGAAGAUAAGAUUCGCCCUCUUCGAUCUACUUCAUUACUGCUUAGGGAGAUAAGAUCUACAAUCUUCAACCUGCUCUCUUGCUACCUUAGAGAGAUAAAGCUGAUGGCUAAAAUCUACUCCCCUACUACCUCGGGAAGAUACGAUUCGCCCUCUUCAAUCUGCUCCACUAAUGCUUAGGGAGAGAAGAUCUACAAUCCUCAGUCUGCUUCCUUACUACCUCAGGAAGAUAAGACUACAAUCCUCAACCUGCUCUCUUGCUACCUCAGAGAGAUAAGGCUGGUGGCUAAAAUCUGCUCCCCUGCUACCUCGGGAAGAUAAGAUUCACCGUCCUCGAUCUGCUCCACUACUAUCUCAGGGAGAUGAGAUCUUUAAUCUUCAGUCUACUUCUUUGCUACCUUAGGAAGAUAAGACUACAAUCUUCAACCUGCUCUCUUACUACCUCAGAUAGAUAAGGCUGGUGGCUAAAAUCUGCUCCCCUGCUACCUCGAAAAGAUAAGAUUCACCAUCUUCGAUUUGCUCCACUGCUACCUCAUGGAGAUAAGAUCUGUGAAUCCACCGAUGUUGCUACACCGUCCUCUAGGGUCGUGAUCUGUAUAAUAGGUUUCAUGUAUCUAUGCUUAUGCCAAAUAAUUAGGAUGCUAUGAUCGAAAUGAAUCAAAUGCUUCUAACUAGAUGUGUUAUGAAUGAUAUAUGAAUGCAGAAAUGAAAAUGAUCCUUUUUUUAAAUGCUUAAGGUGUCAUCGCUCGUUAUUCAUCAAGGCAUUAUCACUAAUGUAUUAUGCUGCCAUCUUGUUCGGCUGGUAUUCUUGACAGAAAACCCAAAGAAACAAUCACAUUCUGCUCAGGAAGCUUGCCCCGCUGUAAUUUCAGAGUCCCUUACACUGUAACUUCUGGGACAUAAAGUUUGUACCUCCCACCGCCACUUCAGGGGAGUAACAUUUGGUUUCUUCCAUCCAUCUUGCUAUAACUCAGAGGUAUAAGAUUUGUAUCAUCUUUAAUCAAUUUGAUCUGUUACACCAUUCCCCAGGUACUAGAUGUGUAUGUUGGAUAUCUGUAUGAAUGCAGAAUGCCAUUUUUCCUUGUCUCGAGAAUAAUCCCAUUGCUCGUUCUUCGUCGGGAUUAUAACACCGAUGUAAUUUCUUUUUGUUCAACCAAUAUCUUUGACAGAAAAUCCAAGGAGAUUAUCUCAACUUGGGCUUAAAUAUUUCCAACCCUUAAGCUUGGUGAGUUUUAAACAAUAGUCCUGUUUCAGGUUCUUGUAUUAUUUAGAAGCUUCCAGAGUAAUAUGUGAAACUCCUUUUAUGAAAGUAUUAUUAGUCCACUAAUCAUUAUUUCAAUGUAAAAUGCUUGAAAAAGAUCAUAACAAUAGACUGGAAGGAAAUUAAUUAGGAGCAUAGCUCGAAGCAAGUAAGCUAAUCAAGGAUAGCAGAUACAAUUAAGAAAGGAAUUUAUUGGGAUGCAUCUUGAAAAUAAUAAGGUAAUCAAAUAUAGCAAAUUUAAAAUAGGUAAAAUGGAAAACUAGGUGCCCCAGAUAUCGCAACUUGAGCUUCUCUGUACCAACUUCUUGAGGACCAUUUUGAGCUCAAUCUGUGUUUAGGGGACCAUCUUUUGUUACAUGGCUAUACUACUUCAUAAAAGCUUGUGCUAAGUCCUUCCAUGAAUUGAUUUUAGUACAACUCAAUUGAUUGUACCAUUUAGCUGCUGACCCGAUCAGACUGUCUCAGAAGUAGUGGAUUAAUAGUUGGUCAUUAUUAACAUAUCCUGUCAUCCUUCGACAAUCAUUGUGAUGUGAGCUUCAGGAAAACUGGUCCCAUUGUACUUUUCAAACUCUGGAGUCUUAAAUUUUGAUAGGAGUACUAGAUCGGGGACCAAACUCAGAUCCUUGGCGUAAAUCCCACAAUAGUAGUCAACAUUCUCCAUUGCCUUAAAUUUUUCCUCCAACCACUUAUACCGAUCCUCCAGUUGUCUUGCAGUUUCAUCUUUUCUUUUUCUAUUUGGUCCAGAUCAGAAACUACAUGAGUGGUUGGAUUGCCCCCCGGAUUGGAGCUUGAGCCGAUCGGGUAAUCCACUAGUGCCGAGGUACCGGCAUGAUAUUGCUGGGAUCUGAUAGCAAUAGGUACACCUUAUGGACAUGUCCGGGGUAAAACUCGGAAGGUAAAGAGGCUCCUCAUUGUCCUUCCCAGUAUUGAUCAUGGAGCUUUUUCCUUUUUCUAUCCCCUUAGUCAGCAAUUGGGACAACUGAUGCAUCAUAUUUCUUUGGGACUCUAGCACUUGGUCCCUCACAUCUUGUUGGAUCUUCGCUAGUUGCUCUUUCAUUUGCAUUUGUAACUGGUCCUGCAUCUCUCUUUGAAGUUGUUCAAGUCUUUCCAAUCUUUGGUCCACAUCCUUUGUCUUAGCACAAGUACUGUAACGAUGCUUGAUUGAUAAGUUUUUGUUGAUUUCUAGAUUAACUGAAAUAAUUGUACCUAAUUAGGGUCCUUUUGUAAGAGUUUAAUGAAAAUGAUGAAAUGUAAUGCAGAUGCAUAGGAUGAAUGCAAAGAAAGAGAGGCGUUGAUUUUAAAUUCAAUUCCAUUAGAACAACUUUUCUAGAAAACAAAUUUCUUUACAUAAAACAGAUUACAUAUGCAGCAUUGCCCUCAUAGUCCAGGUGAAGACACUAAUCUUUUCUUCAUAUUUGGAUGUUAUGGAUGAGUCUUGCGAAUUUUCCAAAAGAUGUCCCUAUUCCCAUUUUUUCUUGAUUCAGGCUGCGACCCAUUGCUCACUUAUCCCCGCAAUUCUCCUUAGUUCCUUUAAGAAAGUUGACGUGACAGCUCUCGAAUAAUCCUUGUUGGCUUGAAUCCUUGGCCAAAGAAACAAAGUCAUGUAUUCCUCCACGAACUAUCAGCUUUCUCUCGUUGUGUUUACUUGGACCAUAUUUGGGUGGCCGUAUUAUAAUCCACUUCAUCAAGAAAUUCGUUUUCCAUGAAAAACUCUUCAUUUAGCAACUGAAUGUGAAUCAACACCUCUUUUCUAUGAUGAUGCAAUGCAAUGCAAUCAUAAACAAAACAAAACAAAACACGUCAGUACAGAAGAAAUAAAUAAAAAAUAAAGCACCUAUUCGGGUGACCAUUAGAUUUUUGGGUACGGUUCUACCUAAGGUGGACUCUUAGGGUUCAUAUAUGUGGCUCGGUUCUAGAGAAAAGGGUACCUGAACCAGCAGAUUCCUCAAUCCUUACCCAUUAUAGGCUCAUAUGGAUCGAGUUCAGUUCAGGGGAAUACAUUUUCCUAUGGCCAUGCAGAGAUGAAAAUCUCACGAAGACAUAGGUACGGAUGUAUCCCGGAAUCAAUCCAUUAGCCCAUGCAGAGGUGAAAACCUCAUAAAGGCAUAACUUCUCACUCUCAUUUAAAAGGUAUAACCACAACGAUCAUGCAAUGCCAUACAAAAGUAUUCUAUGGGACUUGAACCAAAACGAAUGCAGUAAAAGGAUCGUAAUUUUCAAAUCAAAUUUUCAAUUUUCAAAAAAAGAAAAAAAAUUAACCAAUUUGUGGCUCGACUCUUUAGUGUCCUCAGUGGAGUCACCAAGCUGUCAAAACCAUUUUUAAAUUUAAAAAAUGGGGAUCGACUUUAAAAAUGAAACAUGGAGUCGCCACCAAUCCUUUUUAUUUAGGUGUGAUCGGAUCACCUAAUAAAACAUUUUAUUAAAGUAUUGAUCUUCGCCUACGAAAGUCAAAAGAUGGGUUCGGGGAUCGGUUACGCAUGAGGAAGGAUUAGCACCCUCACAACGCCCAAAAUUGGUACCUGAUUGAUUGAUUAAUGUCCUAAUGUCGAUAAUUGGAAAAGAUUUUAAAAUACAAUCCUGUUUAAAAAUGUUUGAAUAUACUUGAAUUGGAUGCUAAGACUCCCUUGUCCCCAAAGGAAUAAAAUAUCAUACCCAACACCUUAGAGUACAAUAUUUCAAACCCUCGAUACCAAGAUUAUCUUAUGAUUUCUAAAAUUCAUGCAUUGAAAUUUUAAAAGGAUAUUCAGUUAUUCGGUCAAUGCUUUCACGAGUUUAGGAGAUGAUGUUGGAGAGAUUUAAAUAGGAAAUACUUGAAUAUUUAAGUUUGCAAAGAAAAAUAAUUCUCAAGCAAAGUUUUUGGUGGAAUCUUUGGGAGUAGCUAAAGGAAAGCUUUUAAAAAAAUAAAGGCAAAGAAAUCUUUAGGAAAUCAAAUGAAGGGACACUAGUAGUAAACAAAGCAAAGGUAAAGGCCUGGUGAAGAGUCAAGCCCAAAGUAAAAUAUAGUACCUAAAGCAACCUUUGGUGGGCUCGGUUGGAGGUAAAAUCAAUAAUGGGAAACUGGAAAGAAAUAAAUUAGGGCAAGGGUCAGGAUUGAUGGGCCUGACAGAUAGGUCAGAUGGAGUACCUUCAUUGUUUAAUUUUUCAGAUUACAAAAUCGAAAUGGGUUUAGAUUAUACCCACCAUAUAGUUAUCUUUGUUGAGGAGAAUCAGAUCCCAAUUUUAGCUGUUAGGAAUAAAUAAGCUCUUGAUUCUGAUAUUGUUAUCCAUAAUCUGAUACCUUCAUCUUUUCUUCCACCAGAUUCGAAGAAGAAAUUAUCCAAUUAUGCUUUAAGAUUAGGUCAUAGGAGAGAAAAUCGUGAUCAGUUGGAAGUCAAUGAGUCAACCCCAGUACAACAAGCUAUCAAAGGGAUUAUUGAUAGAUUGAAACUAUAAACCGAGAAUGAUAAUUGAUCUUCCACGAUCUAGGUUGUUAUUUACAUACCUUUUUCACUAACUUUAACCUGUUUAAUAGCUAAAUCAAGUGAUUUUAGUAUAUAUUUAUGUUUUUAUAUUUGGAUUAUCCAGUAAUUUUUAUUACACUUUAGAUAAUUAAAUAAAGUUACAUGGCCAUGUAGGUCAAACCGAGAGUUAAAAAUUACUAUCUAGGCUGAAACUAUUGCCAACGUCGCAACACUAAAGAUAGAAGCAAUUAAGGACAAAAGAGGGGGUGAUAUCGCGAUGAUGCAACAUUUACUCGGUUAAAUCAGCUGCAUUUUUUUACAACCUAGCAGGGUUCGCUUCCCAAUCGACAUCUAUGUACUUCACCUAUUUAAUCACCUAGAACUAAGGGUGUGUUUGUUUGGUUGUAUUUCAUUUUCCGGAAAACAUUUUCCUCAUUUUCCAAUGUUUGGUAGCCUGAAAACCUUUUCCAUUUGGAAAACAUUUUUCAAAUCACGCGUAAAAUCCCUUACAUUUUGGGAAAAUGUCUUACCGUUUCAAUUUCUGUAAGACAUUUUCCCGUGCUUCUCCUUCAUCCAGGUAAGGCCCCUUCUCUUGCUGCUGUUCAAUUUUCGUUCUCUUGCUGCUGGUAUUUCGUUUCCUUUCUCCUUCUCUUUCUCUCUUUCUCAUGCAAUCUCUCUCUCUCUCUUUUGCAGGCAUUUUCCUCUUCCUGCAUAAAGCUGGUUUUUUCUGGUCUUGGCUUAAGGUAAAGCUCUACCCUUUCUCAAAUCCAAUGAAUUCUCUUUUUUAGUUACCAUUUUUUUGGGGGGAUUUUCAGGGGUUUUAUUUUGGUAAGAUUUGAAGUACAAGAAGCAGUCAUUCCAAAAAGAAGAAAGUCAAGCUUGAAAGCAGCAAAGCCAGAUUCAGAUUCUAUAGCAGCUCCUAUUGAGUUGCCUCUCCUAGGGUCAAAGAACUAACUGCCUUUCUAGAAUCCAGUGAAAGCAGAACUAGCGCUUAAGGAAAACGCGUAGAAGCAAGCAAGUUGAUUUCCAUCUCUGAAGGUCGUUGGAAAAUUCCCAUUCUCCUGGGUACGAAAGAAAGUAGGCUAUUCAUUCGUAUCGAGCAAGCAGUCGCCACCUUCAACCUAGGUACUUACCUUGAGCCUUGAUCCACUAUUUCUUUAUAUACGAAAUAGCCUUUGUUUUGUCAUCUACUAUCUGUGACAAUCUUCCCCAUGGAAAUACCAUGUUGACUCCUUUCUGCCCAAAGCAAACUUCUACUCCUUAUUCCCUGUUUGAUCGAACCUGCUUUGAAAACUGUACUUGCUUGGAUUUAGGUAAUUUAGUUGGAUUUGCAAUUAUUCAAUUGUAGCAAUGGUUUUGUACUGUGCAGUGUUUAACUUUCAAACUAGAUACUUGUGUAAUCCUUAACCUUCUCCUUAAAUGAUUGUUGUGGUUGCUUGUCUUCUUGAUUCCUCUUUAUUUGUGGGAUUAUUCAAUUGUAGCAAUGGUUUUGUACUGUGCAGUGUUUAACUUUGAAAACUAUAUACUGUGCUGUGAUGUGCUUAGUCUUAUAGGGAAAACACUUAUGGUUAUCUAAUGAGCUCAAUUGCUAUUUGCAGGUGUGAACCUUUCUCAACAUACCCACGUAUUUAUGAUUUUAUUCAUGUAGCUGGCAUUGAAUCACUAAUAAAGCUUCCUGUUUCAAGCAAGAGCAGGUAGAUAUAAUGUUGAAAACAUCCUUCAAUUCUCUUUGCAUUUGUAUGAGCAACUGAAGUUUCUACUCUUUAUCACUUUGGUUAUGCGAGAAAUUGCAUGCCUGUUUAUAUUAUACUUUAUUGUGACUUAACAAACCUUAUUUUCUCCACAUGAGAGAACAAAACUCCAUUGGACCACCUUAGAAAAUGACACUGAUGUUCAACAAAUUUGACUCUUUUCCAUACCACUUGUGUGUUUUUCUGUCAAUAUUUUUUACCUUUGCCAAUGUUGACCUGUGUUUUUUGAAUUGGGAUAGAUGGAUACUAGAAUAUAAUGAAAUUUAAUAAACUACAAAUAAAAUAUCAUUUGGUAGGAUACUACAAUACAUCAUUUGUUGUAAUUAGCCUGUGUCCGGAGUCAAGCCUGAAAUUUUAUGCCUUCUUUGUUUCUUUAGCUGAUUUUAUGCCUGAAAUUUUAACCGAUUUUUUUUCUUUUGAUCUUUCUUCAGAUUCACCUUCUUGUUGCUGUUCGUCAAGAUUCUGUCGUUGUUUCAGGUAAUUCUUCUGUUUUUGCAUGGAAUUUUUGUUAGAUUUUUCUGCUGCCGAUUUGAUGGUAUGUGCUGUGAAUUAGAUUACUGUGAAAUUUUCUUUGUGAAUCAGAUUACUAUGUAGGGUAGUCAUGUGUAACUGUAAACUAUUUAUGCAUUGUCUUUGCAAAGCAUGUGUGGAUAGCUGCUAUAAGGUAUGUGUAAACUGCUUUGGCAAAAUAUGUGCUAAUUGUCCUUGUAAUGCUUGAGUAAAUCGACUUGAAAGGUACUUGUACAAGCCCAAUUUUGGGCCCAAAACCCUCUAACCCGUUUGACCCAGACCCAAAACCACUAAAUCCCUAGCCCAAAACCUAUCUUCUAACCCACAAAGCCCAAUACCUAAACAAAUACCCAAAACCCACUAAGCCCAACAGUAGCUCAACCCAAACACCAAAACAAAAGGAACAAAAAACCCUAGCCUAAUCAGCUGCUACCGCCCCAUGUCAGAAUCUGGCCACCGCCUCUGCUCCACCGCCACGGUCACGUCAGUCACCCACUUGCUCCACUACCUGCAAAUAUUAAAUAGAGAAAAGACAGGAAGUAGAAAAGAAACAUGUAAUGGCUAUAUAUAAAGCCGAAUCAAAAACCAUGAAGGUCGGUCGUCAUUUUUUAGAAUGAAAAGCAAUAUUGGAUUGUAAGAACACUAGCAAAACAAGAGAUCCAGCAAUAUCAAUAACAGAAAUACCGAGAAGCAAAGUCUAAUAACCUAAUAAGAACACUAGCAAAACAAGAGAUCCAGCAAUAUCAAUAACAGAAAUACCGAGAAGCAAAGUCUAAUAACCUAAGGUGACUCGUUUUUUUACUUUCUUUUUCGUCUCUAUUUCUUGGCCGAAUCCAUGCUUUCUAUAUCCAUAUAUGGAUAAACAUAUAAUAUAAACACAAGGAAGAUAAACUUAUUUCUAAAGCGUAAAAAAAGGGGAAUUUUUUACCUCCGACCGCCGUGUACGGCGGUCGUCGGCGGUGGAGGACGGUGGCGGUUCGCCGGAGUACUGGCCGGCCCUGGGGUGCUUGCAGAGAGAUUGAGAGAGCUGCUGAAAAUUUUUGAAAAAAAGGAUGGAGGAAGUGAUUUUUGUCUCAAAAAUUUGGCUUUUAUAGCCUGGUAAAACGACGCCGUUUUAGGGUGUCCCGAAGAGCCCCUAAACGACGUCGUUUUGGUGGAAAACGGGUCGACCCGACCCGAUAAGGAGGAUCCGCGUGUUUUUUGUAUAAGGUCUAAUUGCGCACGCAAUUCUUCUGCUUUUUGUACAUUUUGCAAUCAAGUUCUUAUUUAUUUUAAAUUAACUCAGAAGUUUGUCGCGUAUUGCGAUUUGGUCUUCCCUUCAAUGAUGCGUUUUAAGGACUCGGGCAAAUUCCCCUUUUAGCCCUCCGCAGUCGAGCGCGUUUUCAAAUUAGUCCAUUUCUCCUUUAUUAUUUUUUAAAUCGGCCUCGAAACUUCAUUUUGUUUCGAAUUCUGUCCCUUUUUCAUAUUUAAUACGUUUUUUUUUAUUAUUUUUUCCCCUUUUUAUUUUUAAUAUUAUUUAUCAUUUUAUUUAUUAUUCUCAUUGUUAUUAUUAGCAUGUUUACACUUUUUUUUAGUAAUCUUUUUAUUUUCCAUUUAACACUUAUAUAUAUAUUUUAUGUAUAUGUUUAUAGUUUUUAUUUAUUAUUAUUAUUCCCAAUGUAUAUUUCAUGUAUACACAUUUAAAUACCAUACUAUACACAUAUAUGUUAUAUCUAUUUUUGCCCCUCUAACGCCCCAAUUUUCGGGAAUUCUGUGAAUGUUGGCAUAAGUUUAAUUAUGUUAGUGGGCCUCUAGAAAUCCAAGCUUAAGAUAGAACCCGACAAUUUUAGUUAAUUUUUGUUCCAUAAGAAAAAAAGGGGUGAAAUUAUGAAAUAGAACCUAUGUGAAAAAGUUUGAAAAUGCUAUAGGCUAAAUUGAAGUGGCCAAAUAAAUAGGAGUGCAAAAUAGAAGGAUUUGCAUGACAAACCUCCCAUUUUACAUGAAGUGGUCAGCCAUGAUGUUGUUGUAGACAAUAUGAGCACUUGAUAUCCAUAAUUUAUGGUACAAAUUGAUACAAAUUGAUAAUGGGUUAGGUAAAUGUUCCAUGAUAAUGGAUUAGGUAAAUAUUGUUAGGUAAAUGUUCCAUGAUGGGCAUUUCAUGUCUUUUGUAUUAAAGAAUUAAAUGGAUGAAAUAUGAAAUUUUAUUAAAAGAAAAAGGGGUGAAAAGAACAAAGUUUUGUCCAUCUUUGUUCAUCAUAGCCUAAAGUUAGAGAAGAGAAAGGAGAGGAGAAAGCUCUUGAAUGUUCGGUCACUUGGGGAAGAAAAUUGAAGGUAAGUUCAUGGUAGUUUGCUUCUAUCUUGAUGUUCAUGAGUUCUUCUUGAUUCUACCUUAACUCUUGAAGCAUAUUUUGGUUUUUGGUUGUGUUGCGAGCAUUUGGUCAUGAAUUAAAAUGAAGGAAAUGGUUGUUGUUUCAUGUUCUUUUGAUGAAAAAUGGAAGAUAGGUGAAGUUGAGCCAAACAAAUGAGCAUGCAUGUGCCUUAGAUGCUAAGGAAAAAAAAUCGGCUAAUAUGUUGUGCUUUAAAAUGAUGAAAUGGAGAUUAUACUUAAGUAAAAUCAUAGAUAAGUGAUGAUUGAUUGGUGAUAUACAUGUUUAAAAAAAAACAUGCAUGCAAGUUAUGUGUGAAAGAGUGAUUUGGUAAUAAAUCUGCUUGGGACAGCAGCAGUAACGUGACUUUGGAAAAUCACCAUAAAUUGUGGGAGAUGAAUUAGAAGCUAAAUAAAUUAUGUAAUUAAAUCUUGUUGAGUCUAGUUUAAAAUGAAAUAAACUAGAACAUAUUUUGAAUUCUGUACAAUGAGAAAUUUGAUUCGUAAUGAAGAGUGGUCAGAUUAGUCAAACAGUGAAACAUGGGAAACUUUAAGAAAAAUCUGGUAUUGAUUGGCCAUACCAAAAAUUCUGAAAAUUUUAUGGAUAGAAGAUAUAUGAGUCUAUUUUUAGGGAAAAUUAACGGCACUUGAUUUGGAGUUUUCUAGCUCCAGUUAUAAAUAAUUUAGUGACUGUUGCUCAGGAAGACAGCUUGCAGUGAAAUUAUGAUUUUGUGGUAAACAUUGACAAAAAUUUGUUAAUGAGUUGCUUAUUGAUUUCUUAUAAGCUUACUAUGAUCUGUAGGUGUGGUUGGUCGAAUAUUCUAAGGGGUUAAUACGUAGUUCGUAUUUGAAUAGUUAGAUUAAUGUGUUAGUAAUCCAAUUGUAGGCAGUUUGUGUGUGGAUCUCGUCAGCAUAUCGUCGCAAACAGGUGUGUAACUAACACCCUCUUUCUUAGUCUAGAUCGGUAAAAGUCGAAAAGCCGAAAUGCCGAAAACCGGUAUUUUGUAGAUUUGCGAGUGUGCGAAUGCUCGUGAGGUAAAUCGAUUAAUGUUUUUGGUAAGCUGCAAUGUUUGGACUGCAAAGUGCAUGAUUUCUGUGCCCUCGAUAUUUUUGGGCUUAAUGGGCCAAAACUGGAAUGAUGGGCCAACGGGCCCAAUUCGGUAAGAACCCUCAAUAGUGAUUCUAUUAGUACGUGAAAAGUAGGAAUAUGCAUGAAAAACCCUAAAAUAGAUAAAUUACUGAAAUACCUUUAAAAGUGGAAAAUUUACAGUUUUUACCCCUAGGAGAUAAAUUACCGAAAUACCCCUAGGGUUAAAUUGACUUAAAUGCAUGUUUGACUGUUGUUAUUUACUGCAUGCCAUGUUGUUAUUAUCUGAUGCAUGGGAUUGGGAUAUUGACGGAGAAAGUACUGAAAGUGGCUUGUCCACAUACUGGAGGCUUUGCCUCAAUUUACUGUUAACUGAGCAGCAAUGCUGCAACUGUGGAGUGUUGGGCUGGGUGGGUUGAGCUAUCCUCACAUGGAGUGGAUGGUUGGUACAGGUGGAGUGUAGUGGUUGGUGGGUUGAGUAGUCUCCCCAAAUGGGCUUGUAUAUGUUAUUGAUGUUGCAUGUAUUUUGAAAUGGGCCUAUGGGCCAUACUGUUAUCUGAAUAAGGGGCUAAGGCCCAGUUUAUUGUAAUCUGAAAAGGGCUCUGGCCCAGUACCACUGUUACCUAAAUGGGCUUAGGCCCAAUAGGCUUGAGCUGACUUGGGCUUUGAAUGGGUUUUCCUUACACACUGAGUUUCCCCAAACUCACCCUUUUAUUUUCAUCCACGCAGGAAAUCCUCAACCAUAGUGGGCUUGGAGCUGUGAGGGAAUUCGGAGUGGCCACCCGUUCUGAAAGUUUGAUUUUCUUCUGGUGAACAGGACAUCCUUUUAUUUACGUUUGAAGUUUUGGGUUUUUAAAUGUAAUAAGGCCGCUUAAUUAUUUUUGAUGGUUUUAAUAUGUAUUACUAAGAUAGGUAUUACUUAUUUUAACUGUUGAAAUUGGAUAGCUUUAGGGCGCGUUUUCAAAAACAACAAUUGAUUUCAAAAUAACACGACAACAAGCAAAGCUUCCGCAAUAAAAGUAUUUUCCAAAAUUAAUCACUUUUCCUAAAAAUGACAUAAUCAAAUCGGUUUCCUAGAAAUAUCCAUGACGUUAAGGUGUGGCAAUGGCGGUAUGCAUGUCUAGGAUUGGAUCCGAAGGGAGCUUGGUACUUAAGCAGUCCGAUGGACUCACCACCUCUUUUCCGGUUUCCUACCUGGUGCACAACUUCCAUUCACUUUAACCUAUAAUGAAAUUAUCUUUUAAAACACUAAGUAAGUUUUUCUGGUUCAACAAUAUAAAAUAUUUUGAAUGCUUCGAUGUGGCAUGUCAGAUCCGGUCAUAACGUCUGGGCCGGGUUUGGGGUGCUACAGCCCCCCAUUAUAUUUGAUAAUAAUAUUAGUGUAUGCAUUAUUAUAUGUGUAUAUAUCUUUAACCUAUACAUAUACGUCUACAUUUAUAUAUUAAUUUCUGGUAUUAUUGUUUUGUUAAUGCAUUUGUAUAUCAUAUAUGCAUCCUUUUAAUAUAUAUAUAAUGCUCCAUAUUAUGCACAUGUAUAUUAAUAUUAUAUCAUGCAUAUCAUAUAUAUUAUGUACAUAUAUAUUGUAAAUAUCAUAUUGUUUGUACAUUCUAUUAUGUAUAUUUUUAUAACUAUUAUGUACUCAUUUCAUAUAUAUAUCCCGUAUAUUUUUAAUAUAUCAUGUAUAUUUUUUUUUGUUUCUAUUAUUAUAUAUAUAUUUUAAUACCAUAUGUAUUAUUAUCGUUUUAUACUAUUGCUAUUAUUAUUAUUUUCGUUAUCAUUGCCAUUUUUCUUUUGUCAUGUUUUAUGCAUUUUUAUUUAUUUAUUCAUGUAUUCAAUGGUUUUAUUUUCCUUAUGCAUUUGUUUAUAUUUACACAUUACUAGCCUUGCUAUUAUUUCAUUUUUAUAUAAUUGCUCACAUUAUUAUUUUUGAUAUUGUCACGCUCAUUAUUAUUAAUACCAAAAUUUGCUUUUAUAAAUCACGUUAUAUUUUUUUCACUCAAUAUAUUCAAACAAUUCUUUCAUAAAAGCAAUAUCCUGUAUUAGGUAAUUCGAGAUAAUCGUGCCCUAACUUAUUGAGUUUCGACUUUUCUCAUUUAACCUAAAUAACAGAAUAUAUUCUUUUUAAAUCACUAUACGAGUUUUGAAAAAUGCUUAUUCUCGAAGAUGCGAAGUGUUGUGCCCUAACUUACCGGGUAUGACAUUUUGUCAUCUCGAAAUAAGAAUUUGUUUUGGAAUAAAGGCAAUAUUCGGAGUUUGAGAAUUUGAGAAAAUGUGCCCUAACUUACUAGGUUUCGAUUUCUCCCGUUUACUCUAAAUAAUCGAAUACCCUUUUAAUAAAAUACACAGAUUUUAUAAAAGGCAAGCUCGCUCUCGAAAAUUCAAGAUGUUGUGUCCUAACUCACUGGAUAUGACAUUUCAUAUUUUGAGACAAGAAGGUCUUUAAUAUUUAAGCAUUUUCUUUACAAAGAGGGAUCGUAUUUCAAAAGUCUUCCAAGUUUUCAAUCUUCGACACUAAGACACUAAUUAAUCAACUAGGUACCAAUUUUGGGCGUAUCAAGGGUGCUAAUCCUUCAUCGUGCGUAAUCGACUCCCGAACCUAUUUUCUUGAUUUGCGUAAACCAAAAUUGUUGUUUAAAUAAAUCAAGCUAUUUAUUAAAGACAACCACUUUAACGAGGUGACCCGAUCACACCUAGUCAAAAAAGAUCGGUGGCGACUCCCGUUUUUUGUGUUCAUUUUCAAAAUCCAAGUCGAUUCCCGUUUUUUUUCAAAAAAAUGGUUACGACAGCUUGGCGACUCCACUGGGGACACGAAUGAGAGAGUCAAGCCACAAGUUGAUUAACUCUUGUCAUUUUAUCGAAAAUCAAAAAUUUGGUUUUGAAAUAUGAUCCUUUCAUUGCAUUUCAUCAUCUAUUUUUGUGGUACAAUACUUGCUACGUUGGUUCGAGUCUUUAAAUAGUUUUGCAUAUUGCAUUGCAUGACCGCUGUGGUCACACCCCUUUAAGUGGGAGUGAGAAACUACUCCUUCGUGAGGUUUUCACCUCCGUGCAGGAUAGUGGAUCGCUUUCGGGAUACAUCCGUACCUAUGUCUUCGUGAGAUUUUCAUCUCCGUGUAGCCAUAGGGAAAUGUAUUCCCCUAAACUGAACUCAAUCUGUAUGAGCCUAUAAUGGGUGAAGAUCGAGGAAUCUGCUGGUUCAGGUACCCCUACUCUAGAACUAAACCCCCAUGUAGCGAGCCUUAAGAACCCGCCCUAGGUAGAGCCGCUCCGAAACCUUAGUGGUCACCUGAGCAAGUGCUAUAUUUAUUAUUCUUUGUUUGCUUUGAACUGCGUAUAAAUUACUGACUUGCUUUGUUUUACUUUGAUUGUAUUUGCAUGGCAUUUUCAUUGUAAAAGGUGUUGAUUCACAUUCGGUUCCUAAAUAGAUAGCUUAUCAUGGAAAAGGGGUUUUUUUGAUAAAGUAGAAGACAACGCGGCUGUCUGGAUAUGGGCUGAGACAACACAACAAGAGAAAGGUGACAGUCUUACCGAGGGGUACGUGUCAGAGUUGUGGAAUUUUACUCGGAUCAGCGUAACUCAGAAUAAUCUCUAAGAGAUGAAAGAAAUUUGGGAUCAGUGGGAUGAUGAGGUCACACAGCUAUUCUAUUGUCAUUACGGUGAUUUACCUUAUCUGCUCGAUGUCAAGGUAGAUGAACACCUGUUUCGAGCCCUUGCCCAAUAUUGGAAUUCUGCUUAUAGUUGCUUCACUUUCGGGAAAGUAGAUUUGGUACCUACUAUAGAAGAAUACACGACUUUGCUCCAUUGCCCAAAUAUUCAGGUUGACAGAAUUUAUGCCAGACCUGCUAACGUUCCAGCAUUUUCGAAAAAGCUGAUGAACAUCACAGGGAUGAGCGAACAGUGGGUGACAACCCGGAUCAAACAAAAAGGAGAUUGUAAAUGCAUUCUUUGGAGGAACCUGAGGGAUCUAGUCUUAGCGCACCCCGACGUGAAGAAAAGGGUAGAUGUCUUCGCCUUGAGCAUUUAUGGACUGGUCAUCUUCCCUAAGGCUUUGGGGCAUGUAAACGAGGCUGUUGCUGACCUUUUUGACAGGCUUGGUAAAGGAACCACACCUGUACCCGCAAUCUUGGCUGACACUUUCAGAUCAUUAAAUGUUUGUAGAAGAGUGGGCGAAGGGAGAUUUAUUGGAUGUGCACAGAUCUUGCUAUCCUGGUUCCACAACCAUUUUUGGAAAGUGGAAAAGGUCUCGUAUCGCAUCUUCUCUGAAAAUUACUCUCCGCUGAAAGAGUUAGUGGCUACACCGAGGCGAGAUGAUGUGACAGAAGAAAAUUGGAUGACGGUGCUCCAAAAUCUGCAAGAAGAAGAUGUUGAAUAGAGAGCCCCGUGGAUGGUUCCUGAUGAAAUAUUAUACCGAUGCGGAGAAUUCGAUUGGGUUCCCUUGUUAGGAGUAUGGGGGGCCGUCGGGUAUGCUCCUCUGCUUGCAUUGCGACAAUACAGAUCCAGACAGUUUACACCACCAACAUACGGGUUAGCCCAUUGCGAGUUCGUGUUCACAGGGAAUAAUUACAAAAAGAAAGUUCGCGAGCUAUCAAAUGCUUGGAACUAGACUCGUAGAAUGAAGAAGUUUGCUGCCAAUCCCAUGACUACUCCUGAGUACGACCGAUGGUGGAAUCAGAGGAUUAAUGACAACAUCCCUACAUCAGAUCAAGGGAAUCCUCAGUCGAUAGAAGAGCACUUGAAAGUAAUCCCAUCUGAGCUAGAAAUCAUCAGGCAAGAUUUCGAGAGAAAGAGUCUGGAGCUAGAAAAAAGGAUUGAGCAGUUGGAAGAAGAAAAGAUGCAGUUAGGGUUAGAUGUCGAUGUCCAGAAACUAGAAGCUAAAAAACUCAGAAAAGGGAAAAACAAGACUGAAGAGGACUUAGACAGUUUGAAAACGGACUAUAAGAAGCUGCGCAGAUCAAUGAGAACCACUGGGUUAGGAAAAACAUCCGAACAAUGGCGACAUGAAGUUAAAUAAGAACAAAGCAAAGAAAACCAGUGGGAGAAAAAAAUUUCGCAAUGCUCAAGCUCGAGAAGGUGCUUUGAAAAGAAAUUUGGUAGAAAGCCAGAAUAAGAAAGAAGGGUUAAAGAUCCGGGUAUCAGAGUUAGAGAGGUCAUUGUAUCAGUAUCGCUCGCGUAACUCUGCAAUCGAGUUGAAAGUUAGUCAGAACAGAAUCGAAGAAUUAAAAGAGAAUAUAGAAGAACUCAAAACAGCGCUGCAAAUCGUGAACUUCAGAUAGAACUCCUCGAGGUAAAUAACGAGUGAUGGAAGGAGCAACUUCAUCAGUCUCAAGAUCAAGUCAGAAGCAGGGACUACGUCAUGAACGAAGCUUUGACUCAAGUGCGAGAAGUGGCUGAUCACUUGUAAACAUUAGCAGUACAAGCCAAUGUGCUGAGUUUAAAAUACGAGUCAGAAUCGGACCGAGGACAAAAGCUAGCUUGGCUUCUUAGGCAGGUCAAGGCCUUCAGUAUCAGGGCCAAGCCUUAUAUGUAAUCUAUUUUAUGUAAAGAAACUUGUUUUCUAGAAAAGUUACUCUAAUGAAAUCGAAUUGGAAUCAACGCUUUUUUGCAUUCAUCGCAUUCAUCACAUUCAUGUAUUAGCAUUGCAUCAUACGUACUAAAACUCACAAGAAACCCUAAAAAUCAUGGCAGUUACCUUGGAACAUCGUUACGGUACAAGGGGAAAAACAAGGGCAAUGGACCAAAGGUUAGAGAGAUUGGAACAAAUGCAAAAAGAGAUGCAGGAUCAAUUACAAACACAUAUGCAAGAACAGCUUGCCAAAAUCCAGCAAGAUAUGAGGGACCAUAUGUUGGAGUCCCAGAAAAGCAUAAUGGACCAAUUAACUUGUUUAUUGGCUGGCGGAUUAGAAAAAGGGAAAAGCCCUUUGAUCAAUGCGGGAGAAGAUAGUGAAGAUCUUACCUACCCUCCAGGUUUUGCCCCAGCGAAUGUUCAGACACAACCUGACAUGUACCCAAGAAGGCCAUCGGUCAUAAUUAGGCCCCAACCAUUUCAGGCUGGUACUUCGGCACCGAUGAAUUAUCAGGCUGGCUCGGGCUCUAAUCCAGGGGACAAUCCAACCAACCCUGUGGUCCUCAAUCUCGAUGAAGUAAUAGAAGCAGAAAAGAUAAUGGUAGAACUCCCGAGAGAGCUUGAAGAAAGGUGUAGAUGGUUGGAAGAAAAAUUUAAAGAAAUGGAAAGCACCGACUAUCGUGGUAGAAUCGACGCUAAGGAAUUAAGUUUGGUUCUAGACCUGGUACUCCCUCCCAAGUUCAAAACUCUGGAAUUUGAGAAAUACAACGGGACUAGCUGUCCCGAAGCUCACAUCACUAUGUUCUGCAGAUGAAUGGCAGGCCAUGUCAACAAUGACUAGCUAUUAAUUCACUGUUUCCAAGAAAGUCUGGUUGGGGCCGCUUCUAGAUGGUACAACCAACUGAGUCUCGCCUAGAUCAGCUCAUGGAAAGAUUUAGCACAAGCCUUCAUGAAGCAGUACGGUCAUGUGGCAGACAUAGCCCCUGAUAGAAUCACUUUAUAGAAUAUGGAGAAAAAACAUAAUAAGAGCUUUAGGUAGUACGCCCAACGAUGGAGAGAAGUGGCCACACAAGUCCAACCCCCUCUGUUAGAAAAGGAAACCACUAUACUCUUCAUCAAUACCCUGAAGGCAUCUUUUAUUAACCACAUGCUGGGUAGCGCAACCAAGAGUUUUUCAGACAUAGUAAUGUCUGGAGAAAUGAUAGAAAAUGCCAUAAGAUGUGGGAAAAUAGAGGCUGGGGAAAACGCCAAGAGGUCAACGCCGAGAAAGAAAGAGCAUGAGGUGAAUAAUGUGAGCUCAUAUUUGAAAUUGAUCACCGUAAGCCAACCAAGGUCGACAACUGCUGGACAGCAGGGCCCACCCAGACAAGAGCCCAACACAAAACAAAAUAGGGAGAAACUUCAAUUUACGCCCAUUCCAAUGACGUACAAGGAGUUAUACCAGAGUUUAUUUGAUGCACAUGUUGUGUCUCCCUUCUAUCUAAAGCCAAUGCAACCUCCAUACCCCAAAUGGUAUGACACAAAUGCCCAAUGCGAAUACCAUGCGGGAGCCACAGGACACUUGAUAGAAAACUACACCACUUUUAAGAAAUUGGUUGAAAAACUCAUCAAUAUGGGGAUUGUGAAAAUUGAUGAUGCAUCCAAUACAGAGAACCCAUUACCUAACAAUAGGGAUAAGGGAAUAAAUGCGAUAAUCGAGAGUUCAGGGAAAGAAAUUAAGAUGAGUAUUGCAGAAGUGAAUACCCCGUUGAAGGAAGUUUGGAAGAAAAUGGUGGAAAGAGGGUUGAUAGCACAGAAUUCAAGGGUCAGACCUCGAGAAGCGAAGAAUUAUUGUGAGUUCCACGAUCAAGAGGAUCAUGAGAUUCAGAAAUGCAGCCAAUUCAAGGCUUUAGUACAAGGAUUGAUGGAUAAUAAGGAGCUGGAAUUCUUCGAAUAUGUCGGGAGUCUGGAAGAAGUAGAUGUGUGUGCCUCCGAAGAGGGGUCAACGAAGGAUGUUUACAAAGUCAACCACCCAUUGGCUAUCAUAUCACGUCCGAGAAUGAAUGAAGCCAGGGCACGAGUUGCGCCAAAGGUUGUGAUCCAAAAGCCCGUUGGUUUUUCUUAUAAAGAUAGCAAAAGGGUACCGUGGAACUAUAGCUGCAAUGUGACAUUCCCGGGAGAGGAGACCCCGAUUAAUGCAUCAAAGGAAAUUCAAGAUGAAGGUUUUUAUACGCGCAGCGGAAGGCGUUAUACCUCAAAUACAAAAGUCGAGCAGGUUAAAGAAAAAUCAUUAGCAAUUGAGUAAAAGAAAGAGAAGCCGGCGGGGCCUGAACCAACUGUUAAUGAAUCAGUGACUGAAAAAGAAGCCAAGAAAUUCUUAAAAUUCCUAAAGCACAGCGAAUAUAGUGUCAUAGAACAGUUGCACAAAUAGCCAGCGCGUAUAUCGGUACUGGCCUUACUUUUAAGUUCCGAAACCCAUCGCAGCACAUUGAUGAAGGUGCUGAAUGAAACUUAUGUUGCUAACAAUAUCUCUGUAAACAAACUAGACUGUUUAGUCAACAAUAUAAGUGCCGACAACUUCAUAUUCUUCAAUGACGAUGAGGUACCGCCAGGGGGCCGAGGAUCAACUAAAGCCUUGCACAUCACGACUCGCUGUAAAGGGUACACGUUACCGGGGGUAUUGAUUGACAAUGGGUCUGCACUGAAUGUCCUACCCCUAUCUACGCUGAGUAGGUUGCCAGUGGAUAGUUUCCAUAUGAAGACAUGCCAAAGUGUAGUGAGAGCAUUUGAUGGCAUGGAAAGGAAAGUAAUAGGGAGAAUUGAAGUACCCCUCUUAAUCGGGCCGAGCACAUACGAGGUAGAUUUCUUGGUCAUAGACAUUAAGCCUUCGUAUAAUUGCCUAUUGGGGAGGCCGUGGAUACACUCGGCGGGGGCAGUCCCUUCAUCGCUGCAUCAAAAGUUGAAAUUAGUGACUGAAGGUCGGUUAGUAACAAUCAAUGCUGAAGAGGACAUCAUCGCGGCAAUAACCAGUGAUGCCCCAUAUCUGGAGGCAAAUGAUGAAGCAAUCAAGUGCUUUUUUUGAUCUUUGGAGUUUGUGAACGCGACGUUCAUCAUCGAAGGAAAUAAGAUUCCAAUGCCCAGGUUAUCUGAGACUACAAGAAUGGGACUACGACUAACUAUUGAAAAAGGGGCUCUACCCGGAAGAGGACUCAGGAGAUACCUCCAGGGAAGGAUUAAUAUACCAAUGAUGAAGGACAAACAAGACCGUUUUGGGUUAAGGUUUAAGCCAGACAUGAAACAAACAAAGAAGGAACUUGAGAAGAAGCAAGAAAGAAGGAGAGCGCGAUUGAACGGGGGAGAAAUCGAAUGGGAACCAAUAAUCUUCCCCUAUAUAUCGAAAAAUUUUGUGUCUGGAGGGGUCAUUCACUCUGAGCGGAAGACGUCGGGAAAGGAAAUCUUGGAAGGAAUGAUGGAAAGUUUGGACAUCAACGCCACAUAUGAAGAAGGAACGGGGGUAGAGAAUUUGUUAGGCAUUCACCCCUAUGAGCCGGGAAGUGUUCUGAAUAAUUGGACUGCGGAAGAGAUUCCUGUAGUAUUUAGAACUAACUCAGAGUAAUGUCCAAAACACACUUAUUGCUCUAGGCCUAGGAGUAACAAGUGUCAUUUUGUGAAAUAGGCUUAUGUUCGAAAUCGUUAUUUCAAUGAAAUGCAUCCUUUUGACUUAUUCCGUGCAUAUAUUCUUUUAUUCUUUCAUUCAUUAUCAUACCACACAUAUCAUUAUUCUUAGAUUCUCUUGUUCUUUGCAUCUUCCUUCACACCUACAACAGGUUUCUAGAUAUCAAUGAUGCGAGUGACGUUGCUACUAAUUCAGAAUCUCCUUUCGAGCGAGAUAUGUGUCUGGAGGGAUCCCAAGACUUUGAGGAUGACGGAGACUGUAACUUAUCCCCUGAUUUGUUAAGGAUGGUAGAACACGAGGAGAAACAGAUUCUCCCCCACAAAGAGACCGUAGAAGUCGUGAACUUGGGAGAUGAACUAGAAAGGAGAGAAGUAAAGAUCGGAGCUUGCAUCACCACAGAGACAAAGCGGGGCCUUAUUGAGUUACUCCAAGAGUUCAAGGAUGUCUUUGCAAGGUCAUAUCAGGAUAUGCCUGGGCUAAGUACUGACAUUGUGGUACACAGCUCCCCAUCAAAGAAGAAUGCAAGCCAGUUCAGCAAAAGCUUCGAAGGAUGUGGCUCGAUGUUUUGUUGAAGAUAAAAGAGGAGGUCAAGAAGCAAUUUGAUGCUAGUUUCUUACAAGUAGUUAAGUACUCAGAAUGGGUAGCCAACAUCAUCCCCGUCCCUAAAAAAGAUGGAAAGGUACGGAUGUUUGUAGACUACAGAGACUUAAACAAGGCCAGCCCGAAAGAUAAUUUCCUGUUGCCUCAUAUCGACACCUUAGUGGACAACACGGAAGGUUACUCACUCUUCUCCUUCAUGGAUGGUUUCUCGGGGUACAAUCAGAUCAAGAUGCAUCCUGAAGACAUGAAUAAAACCACAUUUGUGACAAUGUGGGGAACCUUCUGCUAUAAAGUAAUGCCGUUCGGAUUGAAAAAUGCGGGAGCAACAUAUCAGAGAACCAUGGUAACCCUAUUUCAUGAUAUGAUGCAUAAAGAAAUUGAAGUCUAUGUCGACGACAUGAUCGUCAAAUCUCAGACUGAAGAAGAGCAUGUGCAAGCCUUGAGGAAAUUAUUUUUGAGGUUGAGAAAAUUCCAGUUGAAACUCAAUCCCGCAAAAUGUACCUUCGGAGCCAGGUCAGAAAAACUGCUAGGAUUCGUGUUCAGUGGAAAAGGGAUUGAGAUUGACCCAGAUAAAGUCAAAGCCAUACAAGAGUUACCUCCACCACGUACUCAGAAGGAAGUUCGAGGAUUCCUAGGAAGACUAGAUUACAUCGCUCGAUUUAUUUCACAACUAACCGAGAAAUGUGACCCCAUAUUCCGUCUCCUUAAGAAACACAACCCUAGUGGUUGGGACGAGGAAUGCCAGAAGACUUUCAACAAAGUUAAGCAAUAUUUGUCUAAUGCCCCAGUGUUGACACCACCUAAUCCAAAUAAGCCACUGAUACUGUAUUUGACAGUAUUUGAAAAUUCUAUGGGAUGCGUGAUUGGCCAACACGAUGAAUCGGGAAGGAAAGAAAAAGUGAUAUAUUACCUCAGUAAAAAGUUUACUGAGUGUGAGACGAGAUACUCGUUCAUUGAAAAGUUGUGCUGUGCCUUGAUCUGGACAACCCGAAGACUGAGAUAAUACAUGUUAUACCAUACAACUUGGCUGAUCUCUAAAAUGGAUCCUCUGAAAUACUUGAUGGAGUCGACUGCCUUGAACGGGAGAAUGGCCCGAUGGCAAAUUCUACUUUCUGAAUUCGAUAUAGUCUAUGUGAACCAGAAGGUCGUAAAAGGGAGUGCGAUAGAAGAUUUCCUAGCCAGCAGAGCCCUAAAGGACUACGAGCCUCUGAACUUUGAUUUCCCAAAUGAAGAUCUAAUGUGCAUAGCAACCACUGAAGAAGACCCUCAAGAAGGUCACCCUUGGAAGCUAAACUUUGACGGAGCAUCAAAUGCUGUGGGUAACGGAGAUCAUUAUCCAUUCACUAGUAAAUUGGAUUUUGACUGCACGAAUAAAAUGGCAGAAUACAAAGCAUGCAUCAUGGGAAUACGUGCGGCCAUAGAACGUAAAAUCAAGGUGUUAGAGGUAUAUGGAGAUUCUGCCCUAGUGAUUUAUCAACUCAAAGGUGAAUGGGAGACAAGAGACCCCAAAUUGAUCAAUUACCGGAGCUUGAUCCUUGAGUUAAUUAAAGAGUUUGAUGAUAUUGUCUUCUACUACCUCCCACGAGAAGAAAAUCAGAUGGCUGACGCCCUAGCAACUUUAGCUUCUAUGAUUAAGGUGAACCAACCAGAGGAUGUGAAACCAAUCCAAAUGAGCAUUUACGAGGCCCCGGCUCAUUGUUACAACCUUGAAGAAGAAGAGGAAAAUGAUGAUCACGCUUGGUACCACGAUAUCCUACGAUAUGUGAAGAAUCGUGAGUACCCCGACCAAGCUACUGAGAACGACAAAAGAACGUUGAGAAGACUGGCCAGUGACUAUGUCUUAGACGGGGAGAUCCUAUACAAAAGAAGAAAGGAUCAGGUACUAUUAAGAUGUGUAGACGCUAUUGAGGCCAAGAAAAUCUUGGAGGAAGUCCAUGAGGGCAUCUGCGGGACACAUGUUAAUGGUUUUACAAUGGCCAGGAAAAUUACGAGGUUCGGUUAUUAUUGGUCCACCAUGGAAGGAGACUGUAUUAACUACGCCAAAAGAUGUCAUAAGUGUCAAAUCUAUGGAGACAAGAUUAAUGUACCUCCCUCACCUCUGCAUGUCAUGACUUCGCCAUGACCUUUCUCGAUGUGGGGCAUGGAUGUGAUUGGGCUAAUUUCGCCAAAAGCUUCAAAUGGGCAUCGUUUCAUCUUUGUGGUCAUCGAUUAUUUCACCAAAUGGGUGGAGGCCGCUUCAUAUGCCAAUGUCACUAAAUCAAAAGUUAGCAAGUUCCUGAAAAAGGAAACCAUCUGUCGAUAUGGAAUGCCGGAAAGGAUCAUAUCUGACAACGCAUUGAAUUUGAACAACAGCACGAUAGGGGAUGUCUGCAGUCAGUUCAAGAUCAGACACCACAACUCGUCACCGUAUCGCCCGAAGAUGAACGGUGCAGUCGAAGCAGCCAAUAAGAACAUCAAGAAGAUUGUAGGAAAGAUGACAGAAACUUAUAAAGAUUGGCAUGAAAAGCUACCAUUCGCCCUCUAUGCUUAUCGAACGUCUAUCAGAACUUCUACUGGGGCAACGCCUUUCUCAUUAGUCUAUGGGAUGGAGGCAGUUUUACCUAUCGAGGUCGAGAUUCCUUCCCUCAGAGUUUUGCCAGAAGUAAAGUUGGAUGAAGCAGAAUGGAUUCAGUCCUGAUACGAUCAGUUGAAUUUGAUUGAAGAAAAGAGGCUACGGGCUAUUCGCCAUGGUCAGAUGUACCAAAAGCGAAUGGUGCGAGCUUACAACAAAAAGGUUUGUCCCAGAGAGUUCCACGAGGGAGACCUAGUACUAAAAAAGAUCCUGUUCAUACAAAAGGACUUAGAGGAAAAUAGAUGCCAAAUUGGGAAGGGCUUUAUGUGGUGAAGAAAGCCUUUUCUGGCGGAGCAUUGAUAUUGGCUGAAAUGGAUGGAAAAACCUUAUCCAAUCCCGUGAAUUCAGAUUUGGUUAAGAAAUACUUCGCCUAAAAAAAAAGGAGAGGCCAGGGUGAAAACUCGCAAAGAGCACCUUGAGACCAAAGGGAUUUUGAAUUGAAAACCCAUAAAGGGCGAUUCAAAUUUUGAUCAAAGGUGGGGCAUGCUGGUCUUAUGGUACCUAAAUUAACAAGGAGGAGAGAUGUUACAUCUUGGGACAUAUGCAAGAGUACUCUAGAUCCCCUAAACACAUAUUGGGCAAAAAACAGGAGUCAUCAAGAAGACAGUACAGAGAAACUCACGCUGCGAUAUCUGGGGCACCUAUUCCCUUUUAUUCAUUUUGUAUUCCAGUAAUGUUUGUUGACUGCGAUUAAUCUAUUCCCUUCAAAUGUUGUUUCUGAUAAAUUUCAGUUUUUUCAUUGUUAUGAUCUUUUUCAAGCAUUUUGCAUUGAAAUGAUGAUUAAUGGACUAAAGCCAUUUUCACAAAAAGAGUUCUGCAUAUUACUCUGAAAGUUUCUAAAUAGUACAGGAACCUGAAACAUGACUAUUUUUUUAGAACUAACCAAACUCAAAGAUUGGAAGCAUCUGAGAAGAAAGAGUUUAAAUUGGGACUACCUCUUCGGGUUUUCUGUUCAAAACUUGAACUGAACAAGAAGACAGGGUACCAUUUCAGUGAAGGAACCUUGAUGAACAAAGAGCAAUGGCAACCUAAAAAGGGAUUCACGCUCACAACAUGCUGCAUUCAUACAUUCAUAGAUUAUUCAUAAUGCAUCUAAUUAGGAGCAUUUGAUUCACUUUAAUCAUAGCAUCCUAAUUCUUUGGCAUAAGCAUAAAUACAUGGAACUGAUUCUACAGGUCAUGUCCCUAGAAUCAGUGAAUUCACCAAGCCUUAAACCCCUAAGCAGUAGGGUAACAGGUUAAAUUUACAGAUCUUAACCCCCUAAGAAGUAGGGUAAUAGGCUAAAAAUUACAGAUCUUGUCUCCCUAAAGUUGCAGUGGAACAGAUCGAAUCCAGCAAGUCUCAUCUCCCUGAAGUCACAGUGGAGUAGACUGAAGAUUUACAGAUCUUACCCCCUAAGCAGUAGGGAAACAGAUCGAAAGUGAUGGGCUUCAACCCCCUAAGCAAUAGGGUAACAAGCUAAAUUUUCAAACCUUAAACCCCUAAGCAGUAGGGAAACAGGUCGAGCUUUAACCCCUAAGCAGUAGGGUAACAAGCUGAAUUUUGAAGAUCUUAUCAUCCUAAGCAGUAGGGAAGCAGAUCAAAAGACGGUGAGUCUUGUCUUCCUGAAGUUACAAUGAAGCAAACUGAAGUUACAAGUCUCAUCUCCCCGAAGUCGCAGUGGGGCAGACUGAAUAUCUACAGAUCUUAUCACCCUAAGCAGUAGGGAAACAGAUCGAAUGCAAUAGGUCUUAAACCCCUAAGCAGUAGGGUAACAGACCGAACUACAGAUCUUAUCUCCCUCAGUAGCAGGGAAAUAGAUUGAAGGUAAAAGAGCCUUAAACCUCUAAGCAAUAGGGUAACAGGAUGAAUUUAUAGAUCUUACCUCCCUAAGCAGUAGUGGAGCAGAUCAAAGACGAUGAGCCUUGACCCCUAAGCAGCAGGGUAACAGGCUGAAAAUUAUGGAUUCUAUCUUCCUGAAAUAGCACUGGAGAGGUUCGAAGCCACAGUAGAUCUCCUAGAGGUUUCAGCGGAGUAGAUUGAAGUCACAAGUCUUAUCUCUUUGAAGCUGCAAGUGGAGCAAACUGAAGAUAGCAAAUCUUAUUUCUCUAAAGCUGCAAUGGAGCAGAUUAAAGUAGCAAGAUGCACUGGGCUGAAUGAUGUCACCUAAAGAAGAGGAGCACCCAAAGAAGUCAAGAUUCGACAUGGCUGGGCCAAAUUGGUCUUUCUUAAGUCUUUGCUCUGUUCUCGUUACACGACAACAAGCAAAGAGGGGCAGCUGUACAAGCCCAAUUUUGGGCCCAAAACCUUCUAACCCGUUUGACCCAGACCCAAAACCACUAAAUCCCUAGCCCAAAACCUAUCUUCUAACCCACAAAGCCCAAUACCUAAACAAAUACCCAAAACCCACUAAGCCCAACAGUAGCUCAACCCAAACACCAAAACAAAAGGAACAAAAAACCCUAGCCUAAUCAGCUGCUACCGCCCCAUGUCAGAACCUGGCCACCGCCUCUGCUCCACCGCCACGGUCACGUCAGUCACCCACUUGCUCCACUACCUGCAAAUAUUAAAUAGAGAAAGACAGGAAGUAGAAAAGAAACGUGUAAUGGCUAUAUAUAAAGCCGAAUCAAAAACCAUGAAGGUCGGUCGGCAUUUUUUAGAAUGAAAAGAAAUAUUAGAUUGUAAGAAUACUAGCAAAACAAGAGAUCCAGCACUAUCAAUAACAGAAAUACCGAGAAGCAAAGUCUAAUAACCUAAGGUGACUCGUUUUUUUACUUUCUUUUUCGUCUCUGUUUCUUGGCCGAAUCCAUGCUUUUUAUAUCCAUAUAUGGAUAAACAUAUAAUAUAAACACAAGAAAGAUAAACAUAUUUAUAAAGCGUAAAAAAAGAGGGAAUUUUUACCUCCGACCGCCGUGUACGGCGGUCAUCGGUGGCGGAGGAUGGUGGCGGUUCGCCGGAGUACUGGCUGGCCCUGGGGUGCUUGCAGAGAGACUGAGAGAGCUGCUAAAAAUUUUUGAAAAAAAGGAUGGAGGAAGUGAUUUUUGUCUCAAAAAUUUGGCUUUUAUAGCCUGGUAAAACGACGUCGUUUUAGGGUGUCCCGAAGAGCCCCUAAACGACGUCAUUUUGGUGGAAAACAGGUCGACCCGACCCGAUAAGGAGGAUCCGCGUGUUUUUUGUAUAAGGUCUAAUUGCACACGCGGUCCUUCCACUUUUUGUACAUUUUGCAAUCAGGUUCUUAUUUAUUUUAAAUUAACUCAGAAGUUUGUCGUGUAUUGCGAUUUGGUCCUCCCUUCAGUGAUGCAUUUUAAGGACUCGGGGAAAUUCCCCUUUUGGCCCUCUGCAGUCGCGCGCAUUUUCAAAUUAGUCCAUUUCUCUUUUAUUAUUUUUUAAAUCGGCCCCGAAACUUCAUUUUGUUUCGAAUUCUGUCCCUUUUUCAUAUUUAAUACGGUUUUUUUAUUAUUUUUGCCAAUUUUUUAUUUUUAAUAUUAUUUAUCAUAUUAUUUAUUAUUCUCAUUGUUAUUAUUAGCAUGUUUACACUAUUAUUUAGUAAUCUUUUUAUUUUCCAUUUAACACUUAUAUAUAUAUUUUAUGUAUAUGUUUAUAGUUUUUAUAUAUCAUUAUUAUUCCUAAUGUAUAUUUCAUGUAUACGCAUUUAAAUACCAUACCAUACACAUAUAUGUUAUAUCUAUUUUUGCCCCCCAUUAUAUUUGAUAAUAAUAUUAGUGUAUGUAUUAUUAUAUGUGUAUAUAUCUUUAACCUAUACAUAUACGUCUACAUUUAUAUAUUAAUUUCUGGUAUUAUUGUUUUGUUAAUGCAUUUGUAUAUCAUAUAUGCAUCCUUUUAAUAUAUAUAUAUAAUGCUCCAUAUUAUGCACAUGUAUAUUAAUAUUAUAUCAUGCAUAUCAUAUAUAUUAUGUACAUAUAUAUUGUAAAUAUCAUAUUGUUUGUACAUUCUAUUAUGUAUAUUUUUAUAACUAUUAUGUACUCAUUUCAUAUAUAUAUCCCGUAUAUUUUUAAUAUAUCAUGUAUAUUUUUUUUUGUUUCUAUUAUUAUAUAUAUAUUUUAAUACCAUAUGUAUUAUUAUCGUUUUAUACUAUUGCUAUUAUUAUUAUUUUCGUUAUCAUUGCCAUUUUUCUUUUGUCAUGUUUUAUGCAUUUUUAUCUAUUUAUUCAUGUAUUCGAUGGUUUUAUUUUCCUCAUGUAUUUGUUUAUAUUUACACAUUACUAGCCUUGCUAUUAUUUCAUUUUUAUAUAAUUGCUCACAUUAUUAUUUUUGAUAUCGUCACGCUCAUUAUUAUUAAUACCAAAAUUUGCUUUUAUAAAUCACGUUAUAUUUUUUCACUCAAUAUAUUCAAACAAUUCUUUCAUAAAAGCAAUAUCCUGUAUUAGGUAAUUCGAGAUAAUCGUGCCCUAACUUACUAGGUUUUGACUUUUCUCAUUUAACCUAAAUAACGGAAUAUAUUCUUUUUAAAUCACUAUACGAGUUUUGAAAAAUACUUAUUCUCGAAGAUGCGAAGUGUUGUGCCCUAACUUACCGGGUAUGACAUUUUGUCAUCUCGAAAUAAGAAUUUGUUUUGGAAUAAAGGCAAUAUUCGGAGUUUUGAGAAUUUGAGUAAACGUGCCCUAACUUACUGGGUUUCGAUUUCUCUCGUUUACUCUAAAUAAUCGAAUACCCUUUUAAUAAAAUACACAGAUUUUAUAAAAGGCAAGCUCACUCUCGAAAAUUCAAGAUGUUGUGUCCUAACUCAUUGGAUAUGACAUUUCAUAUUUUGAGACAAGAAGGUCUUUAAUAUUUAAGCAUUUUCUUUACAAAGAGGGAUCGUAUUUCAAAAGUCUUCCAAGUUUUCAAUCUUCGACACUAAGACACUAAUUAAUCAACUAGGUACCAAUUUUGGGCGUAUCGAGGGUGCUAACCCUUCCUCGUGCGUAACCGACUCCCGAACCUGUUUUCUUGAUUUGCGUAGACCAAAAUUGUUGUUUAAAUAAAUCAAGCUAUUUAUUAAAGACAACCACUUUAACGAGGUGACCCGAUCACACCUAGUCAAAAAAGAUCGGUGGCGACUCCCGUUUUUUGUGUUCAUUUUCAAAAUCCAAGUCGAUUCCCGUUUUUUUUCAAAAAAUGGUUACAACAGUACUUAUGUGCGAAUCCUAUGUAAGUAAUUAUGUGCUACCCGAUUUAGUAAGAUUUUAUAUGUCAACUGAUUUAGUAUAUGUAUAUAUCAAUGUGCGAGUCGUAAUGAUGUGUGAGCUGUGUAAUUUGCGAGUCAUAGUGAUGUGUGAGCUGUGUAAUGUGUGAGCUACAAUGAUGUGCGAGUUGUGUAAUGAGCAAGCUAUGUAAUGUAUGAGCUGUAGUAAUGUGUGAGCUGUGAAAAUAUGCAAAUUGAUCCUAUAAAGCAUGUGCAAGCUUUUUGCAAAAUGCAAUGUAUGAACAGCACAUUAGGAGUUUAAACUGUGCUUAUCUGAUUCUUGUAUAUUUGAUUCAAGUUCGAGAUAAAUAUCUAAGUUUGAGAAAUUGAACUUAUAACUAAAAAGCAGCACAUAUAAUAUUGUUGUUUGAUUAGUAUGGUGUUUUCAGUUUCUUAGAUUGAAAGGUUCUGUUGGCAUCUUUUGACAGAACAAUGUUAUGGGUCACUCGGUCGGUUAUCUAGAUAUAGGAAACUUCAACAGUUCAACUCUUUCAUUAUCUCCUUAGCCAAAUGGAUGAUUGAUCAUAAGCAGUUUAUUGAAUAAUGAUUGUUGCUUUAUCAUUAUCGGUUGACGACUUCAAAUUUGAAGCAUUGGUAUAGCAGACUUAUUAAUUAUUUAACAAAACUUAUCAAGUUCCUUUUCUCUUGCUAUUGGCUCUAUUUAUAGGAUGUUCAUUCUCUUUGAGAGGUGUGCAAUUAGAAUGCUAGAAGAUUGAAUCAUCUUUCUCUAACUAUUUAUUUCCAACUUUUCUUUGAUUUUUUUGUGUUGAGAUUUUCAUAUUCACUAUGGUAUUGAGAACUCUCGUGUAUUGAUUAGAGACUGAUAUUGGGUGUAUGCUAGUUGAUUUCUAGUUCUCUAUUGGGGCAGCAUGAAUUCUAGUUGUAUUAGUAUCAGAUAAAAAUAAUAAAAUAAAAUAACAUUUAGCAUGAAUUAAUGAUAUUAUAAAAAUAAAAUAAUAAAAUAAUAUCAAAUUAAAAUAUAAAUAUUAAUUAUUAAUUCAUAAAUUUAAAUAUAAUAAAUAAAUAGUAACCAUAAUUUAACCUAAAAUAAUCUAUACUAACAUAGAUUUAAUAAAAAUUCGACAUUAUUAAAGGUUUUUUUUUCAACUUUUUUAAUUAAUAAAAAAUAAUUUCAGUCGUUAUAAUUAUUUUAAUAAAUAUAUAUCUUUAAAGUCUUAACUUUUGGAUAUCUUCAUGAGCUACUAGUGUAUUAGAUAUCAAUUUUCAUAUAUGUAUGUAUGCCCUUUAGUCAUGGUAGCUUUAUUCAUAUAUGUGAUCUUAUGAAAAGCUUGCACCUUUUUUGUAGUGAUCAAAUAUUUGUGUGGCAUUGUUUUGUGUAGAUGGAUCGUAGUCAACAUCAAAAUGUAAUUGUUGCAGUCGUGGCUUCAGUUUUAGCUUUUGGGGCUCUUUGGAUUAAAAAACUAAAAACUAGGAAGGAAAUUACUUCUCACCCUCGUGUCAAUCGAGAUUAUGAAAGAGAAAAUUAUAUUAAUAGUAUUUUAUAUAGUGGUAACCAACAUUGUAUUAAUAUGAUAAGGAUGAGACCGAUUGCCUUUUUUAAUUUGUGUGAUAUUCUUAGUAGGAAUAAUUUAUUACAAUCAACUAAAUCUGUGAAUAUUAGGGAGCAAGUACUGAUAUUUUUACAUAUAAUUGGUCAUAAUGUAAGGUUUCGAGUGAUUGGAUCCAGAUAUUAUAGAUCAACUGAGACAGUUCACCGUUACUUUAGGAUUGUAUUGAGAGCUAUUUUGAAAUUGUAUAAACUAGUUAUUAGAUCACCUGAUAAGUCAACUCCUAGUGAAAUCAGAAACAAUCGAAGGUUUUAUCCUUAUUUUAAAGAUUGUAUUGGAGCAUUAGAUGGAACUCAUGUUCGUGCAUCCGUUCCACCUAGCAUUGAAAGAAGAUUUCGUAGCCGUAAAGGGGGGACGACACAAAAUGUAUUGGCUGCCACUACAUUCGAUUUGAAAUUUUCCUAUGUUCUAGCUGGUUGGGAAGGUAGUGCACAUGAUUCUCGUAUUUUAAGUGAUGCACUUUCACGCCCAAGAGGAUUAAGAAUUCCAGAAGGUAAUAAUUAUCAUUAAAUAUCAAAUAGUUCUAAUAAGCUCAUAAUUUAUUAGUAUUAAUUAUGUUUUGUAAAAUUGUAGGCAAAUAUUAUCUUGCUGAUGCUAGAUAUGGCAUCUGAAAUGGAUUUAUUACCCCAUAUCGUGGUGUCUGAUAUCAUUUAAAAGAGUUUAGUGCUCAGGGGCCUAAAAAUGCAAAGGAACUCUUUAAUCUUCGACAUUCAUCAUUGCGAAUCACUAUUGAACGUGUUUUUGGGAUUUUGAAGAAACGGUUUCGUGUAUUAGAUGCUGAACCAUUUUGGAAUUUUCAAACUCAAGUAGAUAUAGUUUUGGUUUGUUGUAUCAUUCAUAAUCAUAUCAUGGGAGUUGAUCCUAAUGAUUUACUUAAUCAAGGAUUAUACGAGGAGUCUGAGUCUGAUUUGAUAAUACCAACUCUUACGGAGCGAGAAGAAAGAGAAGAAGCAAGAGAAUGGUCUGCUAAGAGAGACGAAAUUGCACAAACUAUGUGGACUGAUUAUAUGGCUAGAAAUAUUAGGUAGGUUUAGGUGUUAGGUUUGUUGUUUCUAUGUUAUGUAUGUUUUAGUAUUAAAAUUGUUCUUUUUUUGUUAAUGUUUGUUGGAUAAUGAUAUUAAAAUUUUAGUUUGUUGGAUUUUGAAAUUAUUAUGUCUUGAAUUUGUUAGAUAUUGAUUAUGUUAAACUUGUUAGAUAUUGAAUUUAUUAUGUUUUAAGCUUGUUGGAUAUCGAAAUGAUUGAAAAUGACAAUUAUUAAUGUAGAAUAGGUAAGGGCAACAAAGAAGGGACCUCCAAGCAAUUCAGGUGGACAAAACCGAUGGAACAUGUUUUUCUUGAAAUUCUAGCAGAGGAGGCCCAGAAAGGAAAUAAGCCUUCUAAUACUUUCAAAACAGUUUCUAUUAAACGAGUUGUCGAAGCUAUUUCUGAAAGAUUCCAAGUCCAAUGCGAUACGAAGCAUGUGGAAAAUAAUUUGAGGACUGUAAAAAACCAAUGGCAAAUUAUAUGCAAAAUUCGAGGUGAAAGUGGUUUUGGAUGGGAUGAUAACAUGAAAAUGAUCAUAUGUGAUAGAGCGACAUAUGAUGCAGCAGUGAUGGUAAUAUAUGUAUAUAUAUGUUAAGUAUAUUUCAAUUGUUUUAUACCUGUUAUUCUAAUUGUGUAUAAUAUCCAACAGGCACACAAGAAGUAUGAACCAUUUUUGAAUAAAAGCAUUGAUCAUUAUGAUGAAAUGGCUUUGGUUGUUGGCAAAGAUAUGGCAAUAGGGAGUUUUACCAGAAUAUUUGCUGACAUAGAUUUGGAUGAUGGUAACCAAGAUUCAGUGCCUCUAGACUGCUACAAUGAAGAGGAUGAAGAGGUAAGAACAAAUGUAUCUUCAUCUGGCACAUCCAAACGUAAAAGAAAAAAUGUUCAAGAAAGUGUCGUUGAUGAACAAGUUAAAUUUGUGGGUGAACAACUUGGCAAAAUUGCUAAUGCUUUGGAACAAUUUACUGCGGAUAAGACACCACAGCUUUACGAACAAGUGAUGUUGAUGGAGGAAGAAGGAUUUCAUGAUGACUUCUUGUGUUCUGUGUUUGAUUAUCUAGUGAGUCAUGAAUCCGAGGCCAAAGCUUUUUUAGUUAAAAAUAAGAAGCAUAAAAAAAUUUGGCUUCAAAAAUUUUCUCAAGGUUAAAGAUAUUGAUACUUUUAUGUGGUGUAAUAUUUAGUUAUGCACUUGGACAAUGUUGUUAUUAUGUGGUGUACUACUAAUUAUGCAUUUGGAUAAUAUUAUUAAUUUCUAGUAUUAAUUGUAGUUUGGAAGCUAAUUUAUAAUUAUUCAAUCCUUGUUUUUUAUUUUUUUAACACAAUUACAAAUAAUUUAUCUGACUUUGGUUGUUUUCAAUUUAUGAAGGUUAAUAUUGUAGCUUAAUAAUUGAGUAUUAUUAUAUAUUUAAUUUAAUUUAUUUAUUUAUAAAUAAAUCAUUGCAAUAUAUGUAAAAAAAUUAAAAUAUAAAAAUUUAUUAAUAUGUAUAUAAAUUUAUUAAUAUAUGUAAAAAUAACUUUAAAGGAAAAUAUUUUCAGGAAAUCUGCCAAACAACAGAAAAUAUUUUACACAACUUCAUCCAAACACCAGAAAAUAUUUUCAAUAAAUUAUUUUCCAGAAAAGUAAAUCAUUUUCCGGAAAACAUUUUACUGGCAAACAAACAGACCCUAAUUCUCAACCUUUAAACUACCACAAAGCUAUUCAAUUCAUCGUAUCAAAAUUUUUGACAUGUUUAUGGCAAUUUUCACGAAAAUUCAUUAAAUCCUUAGAAAUCCUUAAAAAAAACUUUAAAAUCAGUUUAGAAAUCUUCUAAUCAUGUCAAAAUUAAUUGAAUAACACUUUGAAAUCACGUUUUUACUCAAAAAUCUGAAAUACACCAUUAACGACCUAAUUUUCGACUUUUAAUCAAAACAUGCAAUUUAAUGAUUAAAAACUCAGCUUUAAAGACUACAUAAUAACUGAAACUGAUAGAAAGGCAAAAGGUUACCUUCGAUGGAAGAAAAAUGAACUUUUAACGUGAAUCUUAAAAAUCCCACAAGUGAGGAAGAUGAUGAAAUCAAUGAGAUUUUGGGGUGUUUUCUUGAAAUAUUAUGUAGAUAAUGACUUGAGUGAUGAUAGUAAUCAAAAGGAUGAUGAUUUAACAAAGAAAAUCUAAGAUGAGAGGUUGGGAAUCAAGGGACGACACAAACUAGCAAAAAAAAAGAGUUAACGUGAAAUCUAUAGGUAAGGGAUGAUUUUAAGUUGUAUUUUUGAAAUUUGGUAAAGCCGCUUCAUAAACACACAAAAUUUUGAUCCUUUUAAAAAUAAAAAAUUAUUUCAAAAUUAAAAGCUUUUUCAGUAUUAUUUUCAAAAAUUAGUUUAAUUUUCAAAAUAACACAGACAAAAACAUUUACAAUUACCAUGCUUACAAAAUUUCGAGCACACUAAAGCUAAAAUCCCUAAAAUACCCCUAAAACUCCAAGGUCCUAUUUUAGGGUGUUAUAUUAUGUAUAAUGCCCGGUUGAAUGUAUCACUAGGAUAUGAUAGGCAUGCCAAUAGGGUUAGUAUGCGUGCUAGUAGGAGAUUGCACUUCAGUGCCUCUAUUUGAACUUUAAUGUCUCUGAUUGCACAAUCGUGCCUCUACCUGUACUUCGUUGCCUCUGUUAUGUAUCUAUGAUGCUUUGGGUGUGGUGUAGUUACCCGAGUAUCCGAGUUAAGUACUUAGUUCAUUGGGCUAAAUGUUAACGAAAUGUACAAUUAACUUGUGGACUUAAAUUUUUAUGUAUAUUCAAGAUAUUAGAAAGUGUUAGUGUUCAAUGAACUACUUAUUUAUAUGUGAGUACAUUUACAUUGAUGAAAUUUUGUUUAUGGAACUGAUAAUUCAUUUAAGAAGAGGGUUAUCAUUAUAUAUUUUAAUAUGUGAUCAGGAACUAAUGUAGGUUGUGAAUGUGUAUUUGGCUAUCAGAAAUUAUAAAUUAUCUCUUUAUAUUUUGAUGUCCAUUAAUGUAACUUAGUUUGAUGUUUUAAACUAUAAGCUUACUAAGCUUCUUUAUCUUGUUUCAUUUAUGUUCUUUUGUAGUUUUCAAGUUUGCACACUGACUGGAUGGAUCGACUAGAAGCUCACACUGUCCAGCUAUUUUGGUAGUUAUUGUUUUCUACUUUGGGAUAUGGCAUAUAUAUAGAUGUUUUGUUGUAAUUAUGUAAAUGCUAUGCUAAAUUGGUGUUCCUAGUGAAAUGCUUGGUUUGAAUGUGUAUGUUUAAAGUGUUUUUGGUUGGGUUCAUUCCUAAUGGUCAAGAGUUAGAUGUUAACACUUUGGAAUGGUGAAAUUUGAAUAUGUUUAUAGUUUGGUCAAUUUGGUUUAUGGAUUGAGCAUGAAUAGAUGAUUAAUGCUAUGUGAUUACUUAGCUAGGUUAGUUGAGUGAAUGAUCUUUGAUUGUGGUGCCUUUGAAUGGCCUAUUGGUUUGGUAUAGGAUGAAUGAAUUUUUGGCAUAUAAUUGAUGAUUUGAAUGUGUUUUUGAACAUAAGAAAUGAUCUAGAUAUGGGAUGUCUUGUUGUGCAAGGAAUGGUGCAUGAGUUUUCUUAAUUUAAGGGUUAAAAAUGAUGCAUACGGUUUGGGACAUAGGCUGUCACACGGUCGUGUGCCACACACGGUCACCUUACACAAUCGUAUGUAUUAUUUGUUUUUUAGGUGCAAUAUCCACACAGCCAAGCACAUGGCCUACAACAUGACCGUGUGAGUGCAAACAGUUUGUUACACAUUCUAACACAUAGCCUGCAACAUGACCGUGUAACCUAACUUGAAUACACACACAAUCUGGCACACGGCUGUGUGGCCCUAUUUCAAAUGUUCACACGGGCUGACACACGAGCUAGGACACUACAGUGUAUCCUGACUUCAAAUGUUCACAUGGCUGUGUGGCUCUUGUUUUGAAAAUUUUCAAGUUUUUCUAAAAUUUUCUGAUUUGUUUCAAUUUAACCGCAGAUUGUUCUCAAACUAUUUUUAGGGCUCUAUAAGCUCAAAUUAAGGCCCAUAAAUGUAUUUAUAUCCCGAAUUGAUUUAUUUGUUAUGUGUUUGCAAUUUAUUUGGUUAACUAUAGUGAAUUGAAGUGAAAUGUUCUGUUUAGUUCGGUAACACUUCAUAACCUUAAUCUGACAACGAAGACGAGAUAGGGUGUUACACUAACAUUGUAGGAAGGCAUCCAACUAGAAGCGCUUUCUUGCACAAUCAGAUGAAAAUGCGUCCAGUUGGAUGCAUUUUCAUAUUCUCUCUCCUAGACCAGGUUUAAGGAUUUUUAGGGUUUUAAAGGGUUUUUAGGGUAUUUAUCUUUUAGGGUUGGAAAUAUGGAGAGAUUGAUUUAAUGGUAUUCGGGUUUGAGGUAGAAAUUGUAAAAGCUUAAAGGUAUAUUCAAUUGGCGGUGAUGCGAUAGCAUUGGGAUAGCUACUAUAAUAUCCUUAAAUCGGGUCUAGUAGUUUCAGGCAUAUUUUUCGGGUUCCGAGUAUGAGUUUUGAAAUUUAUCGGGUUAAUAGUAAGUUUUUUAAUUUAAUAUAGGAGGUUAAUUUUAUCUAAAAUCUAUUAAACAAUAAUCUAGAAAAAUAAAAAUAUUUUUGGAAAAUUAAUUUUAAAGUAAUUAAAUAAUUAUUGGUGAAAAUAAUUAAUUUGGGUCGAAAAGAAUUUUAAAAUAAUUUUUAUUGGGGUUAAUUUGAGUUAAAUUUAAAUAUUAAUUAAAUUAGAUUUAAUUGUAAAAUAAGAUAAAUUUGGGAGUAUUUAUUUGAAAAAUAAACCUUUAAAUUCUGAAUUUUGGAGGGAAAUGAUCAAUUGGUAAAGUAAGGGAAAUGCGGGAGUAACCAUUGGGCAAAUUUCUCAAUUUUUAAAUUUUUGGUGGGUUGUUUCAGUUUUAAAUACAAUGCAUCUAGCUUACUUUUCACACUAUUUACAUCAGAUUAGAGAGCUAUAAAACUAGUUUUCUUUGCAUGAUUUUAAAGAUCUAUCAUCAGACAAUAGAUUCAGCAAAUUUUCUUCUAAAAAUACUCUCUUUUCACCUGAAAUUAUUCACAAAAGGAGCCAAAAAUAUUCUGAAAUUCCUUAAGAUUCUUGAACCAAGAUUUUCAAUCAAAGGAUUUAGAACGAAUCAAAGGAUUUAGAACGAAUCAAAGGUAAUUAUCCUUUCUAAACUUAUUUUUAUGAUGAUUAGAAGCAUAUUAACAUGAUUUGAGUAAUAAUUAUAUGAUUUUUUUUGUCAAUGUCAUCUUCUUCAAAGCUUAAGGUGUUUUAAUGGUGGAUCUUGAAUUUUGAGAGGAAAUCCACAAAUCAAUGGAUGUUCCAACUCAAAAUGGAACUAUUAAAAGGUUUUUGAUCUUAUUUAUCAAGAUUAAACAUGUUUUAUAAGGUAAUUUAAAGAAAUUCGAAUUUCAUCAUAUUCAUGAACUAAUUUUCCAGAAUUUAGUGAAAUUGAUUUAAAUGUGAAAUUGAUGCUUAGUAUAUAUUUAUUUGGUCUAGUAUUGAUGUUUGGAAGUGAUUAAGAGGGCUGGAGUGAUCGAUUUUGUGAGGACUCGAGUUUUCGACUUGAUGAUACAAAUCUGGUAAGGUAACUUUGAGUGAGAAUUUCAUGUAGCCCAGUGGAUGAAAAUUUGUGUUUAUUAUAUCUUUUAAAAGUGGUAAUAUUUAUUUUAUCUCUGUUGAAGCUUCAAAUCUUGAAAAGGAUCAAGCUAAUUGAAAUUGAAGCUUAGAUUUGCUUGGUUGAUCACUUGGUUGUGGUUGAGUUAGUUGUGUGGCGAAUGUUAUUAAAAGGCGAUUUGGUAAAUUGACCCUCACUUAUGCUUAAUUGGCUUUGGUUAAUUUUGAGUUUUGGUUGGUUAAUUUUGCAAGAUUAUUGAUAUACGUUUAAGUGAUGAAAUUUUUGUUAAGUGUUGGUAAGAGAGUGUCGAAACCAUUUUUGAAUUUAAAAAAUAGGUAUCGACUUUAAAAACGAAACAUGGAGUUGCCACCAAUCCUUUUUAUUUAGGUGUGAUCGGAUCACCUAAUAAAACAUUUUAUUAAAGUAUUGAUCUUAGCCUACGAAAGUCAAAAGACGGCUUCGGGGAUUGGUUAAGCACGAGAAAGGAUUAACACUCUCGCAAUGCCCAAAAUUGGUACCUAAUUGAUUGAUUAAUGUCCUAAUGUAGAAAAUUGGAAAAGAUUUUAAAAUACAAUCCUGUUUAAAAAUGGUUGAAUAUACUUGAAUUGGAUCUUAAGACUCCCUUGUCCCGAAGGAAUAAAAUAUCAUACCCAACAUGUUAGGGUACAAUAUUUCAAACCCUCGAUACCAAGAUCAUCUUAUGAUUUCUAAAAUUCAUGCAUUGAAAUUUUAAAAGGAUAUUCGGUUAUUUGGUCAAACGACAAAUCGACACCCAGCACGUUAGGGCACGAUUUCUCGAACUCCCAAACUCGAAAUAUUGCCUUGUUUUCUAAUUGAAGAAAUCACAGACGGAAUUUUAAAAAGGGUAUUUGGUCAUUUGGUCAAACAGAAAAUUGAAACCCAGCACGUAGGGCACGAUUUCUCGAAUUUUCAAACAUGAAAUAUUUCCUUAUUUUGAGAAUUUUUUAAAUAGGAGCGAUUAUAAAAACGGACUUGAAAUAUAUUUAUUCGGUUUGUUUGAAGUAAAGAAAAUGAAAUGAAUGGUUCCAGGCAAAUAAGUUGGCAAUUUCAAUCAUAAUACAAUACAUGGAAAUGAAAAACAAAAUACAAAUAUGGAAAACAUACAUGAAUAACAUAUUAUACAAAUUAUGUAAAUCAAAACACACUCAAUGAUAAUAAUCUUACAACAUACACGAUUUAACAUUUCUAAAUAAAUAAAAAAUCUAUUUAAACAAUGAAACAAAAAAACUUUUAAAAGGUGAUGAACGGUGUUAAAACAAAUAAUGAAAAGGAAGAUAAUUUUGGAAUUGACAACGUAAAAAACAAUUUAAAAAUAAGUUGUAUGUAUAUAGACAAAUGACACAUGCAAAAAUUUGAAUUAAAUUAUAAAAUAAGUAAAUAAUACAUAAAAUAUAAAGUUCAACAUAUAAAUGAAUUCCAAAAUGAUUAUUAUAAGAAGAGAUUUAAAAUAAGUGCUAUACAAAACAACUUAAAACUAAAAUAAAUAAGAAUAUAAUAUAAAUUAUGUACAUAAAAAAUAAUAAUAUAUGUCCAUAUAAAAUUUUUAAAACAAAUAAUGUACAUAUUAGAAAGUUUUAAUAUUAAUGAAUUAUAUAAAUACAACCAUAAAAAAUAUACAAAAGAAUAUUUAUGAAUAACAAUCUAUAUAAUAUGAAAUCAAUGGUCAUACAAAGUAAUUUGAAAUGAGAUUUAUUCAUCAACAAUUAAUAAUAUACAUAGAGCGAAAAACUUAAUAUAAAUAAUAAUAAUAAUAAUAAUAAUAAUAAUAAUAAUAGAAGGUGGUAAAAUAGAUUUUUAGAAGAAAUAAAUUAUACAUAAAUAGAUUUAAAAGAAAAUAUAAAUAUAUAUAUAUAAAGGGGAAUUAAAAAAUAACAAUUAGACUAUUGUGAACAUAAUAUAUACAAUAUAAUUCAAACAAUAUAUAUUACGACAAAUAAUAAAUUUUAUAAAGAAUUAUUUAAAAUGAAUAAAAUAAGAAAAAAAAACUAAAAUUAAAAAGACUCAAUUGAAAUGAAAAUGAUAUCACAUGGAUAAUUUAUAAACAAAUAAAACUAUUAAAAUGGAAUUAAUGACCGAAAUAGAAUACACACAAAUGAACGAGGACUAAAAAAGAAAAUAUCCCCAGAUCUUAAAACACAGCGUUUAGAUGCGGGUUAAAUUGAAACAGUGUACAAAUUCCAAAGAAAAAUUAAAAAAAUGCAAAAGAAUUCAAAAUGGGACUCAAUUGAAUAAUAGCGCGAAAGAGAGGGACCAAAUGCGUAAUUCACCCAUUUAGGGAAAAAAUAGCCGACCCUCCUAACGGGUCGGGUCGGGUCAAGACGCGGACCUAGCUCCAAUAAAAAAGGCGCCGUUCCUUUAAUUAUUUAAAUCAAUUUUUUUAAAAAAAUCAUUUUAACCUUUGUUUAAAAAAAACCUAAAAACUUUGAAAUAUUCUCUAAUUUCCUCCCCUACUGGGCCAGCGCCGCAUCUGUCGGAGAUCCGAUGCACCAUGGCCGCAGAUGGUGGCCCAAGCCUCGUAAAUGGGGUGUUUAACCCCCCUUUUGAAAAAAAAACCGAAGGCUUAGCCUUAUUGACUCAGGAAGCGAAAGGAAAAAAACAAAGUCUGACCCCAAUUGGCUUGGCUCUGAUGCCGGUGAUGGGCUCUCGACAACGGUGACCACUCAGGUACCUUUUUUCCUUUCCCUCUUUUCUUUUUUCUUUUUCUUUUGUUGUAAAAACUUAAAUAAUGAAAUCAAAGCCGCUAAUCACCUUUCGAAAAGAAGAAAAAUUGUUUUGAUUUAAUCGAAAAUCUAUUUGUAUUUGAAAGAUUCAGAUUCUGCUCUCUAUUUCUCUAUAUCUGUAUUGUAUAUCUGUGAAAAAAAUCCCCCAUUUACAUUCGAUUCCAUUCGGUUUUAUAGCCGAAAAAAUAAAAGAGAAAAUAAAAAUUCCUUGCUGUCAUUUAUUGUUAUUCUACUGUCAAUUGCUGUUGUGGUUGUUAGUUUGUUGCAGGUGUGUCCAACUGGAGGACCAAUGUGGAGGUCAUGGAGGCGCGAAGAAAGCCGUACGUGGGAGCUACAACGCAAACUGUUUUCACCUUAGGGUUUCUGGAAUUUUGGGUUAUUGGCUUGGGCCAUUUGGGCUAGUUACGGGGUUGGGCCACUGUAAUUUGGUCUGUUUGGGGUUUGGGGUUAAAUUUUAUUAUUGGGCUUGUAAGAAAUGGACUAAUUUUGAUGUUUUGAAAUGUUGUUGUAAAUGGACAUUGGAUCCUUUAAAUAAUUUAGUUUAUUAUUUAUUUUUGGUUUUAUUUUGUGUAUGGGCCCAGACGAAAUGGGCUUUCUACAGUGAGCAUCUAGUGAUUUUAUGUGCUUGAUUUGAUUGAUUAUAAUGGUGAGCUAAGAAAGCAUGCUGGAGUCUUUGGUUCAUGGUAUGGUUGAUAUUUCAAUUGAUAAAUGGACAUUGAUAAUAGGUAAUUGGUAUGCUAGAUUUAAUUUGAUGUUAAAAUGGCUAUGUUACAUGAUUCACAUAUGCAUUUUGGCACUUUAAAUUGAACACAUUAUUGACUGAAAUUAUGUUAUGAUUGAUUGGUUGUAUUAGCAUUAUAUAGCAUGGUGGAUCCAUUGGAUAUAGUUGGUAUGCCAUAAGAUUUGUUAGUACUCACCAUAUUGAUAUGUUAUUUGUGAGCAACGAAGCUCUAGGUGGACUAAUUUGGAGUAGAUAAGGGAGUGUGUGGCCUUGGCCCACUCAAUCUAGGACUAAUUCAGAUUCUGAUUAGAAGGAGAUCCAUUUAUUCUAUGUAUGAUCACCCGAUUAGUCAUGAUUGUAUAUGCCAAUAUAAAUGUAUGAAAUAUUAUAUGCUAAAUUGAUGAUUAUAUGCCAUGAUUAAUUAUGAUUUUUGAUACAUGGUUGAGUAUAUGACAUUAAACUAUUAUGGAUUGAUAAUGUGAUUAGAAAUUUGUGUUUGAUUGGUUUCAAUUUAAGCAUGAUUUGGAUGCUAAUUUAUCGUCAUUUUAUUAACAUUCACUGAGCUUUUUAAGCUCAUACCCUCACAUUCGUGUAGUUAACCAUUGGGAUUGAGGAGUUGAGGAGGCGAGCAAGAGAGUUCCAAGAGAUUAAGGUUCAGUAGAGAUUUAGUUACACGUUUUAGAGAUGUUAAUCGGGUAUUGUGGAACUUUCGGGACUUAUUUUAACUUUGGUUAUAAUUAGACUUCGACAUUGAACAAUUUUAAUUUUGGAUGGUUUUAUAAUAUCAAUAUGCAUGUUUGAGUUUGAUUAUUGAAUAAUUUACAAUGUAUUGUUACUUGAUAACACAGUGUGUGAGACAUGAUGUUUACACUAGCCAUUGUUUAAAUGAAGCUUCAAUUAAGUGGUUUACUAGUGACUAAGGUACGCCACUUGUUUGAAUUAAUUGGUGGGUGAUAUGCAUGAAAUUGAAUGUUUAAUUCUAUUUAAUUUAGGCUUAAUUGGUGUUAAUAAAUUCAAUUGAAGGUGUAUGAAUAUGUAUGAUAUUUAGUUGUACCUAAAUCGGGUUAAACUGGGCUUUAAAAUACUCAAAAUCAGGUUUAAAAUUGAAUUUUUAGCACAAAAAAAAAACUGCAAUGGACAGCUAGGGGUUUGAAUUCUGGUCUUUUUAAAUUGGUUCUCUAGUCUGUUUAAAUUACAAAUUAGUCCUGUAACUUGAUAGGUCUAAUUAGAGCCUUAAAUGAUAAUGAAAGUUGAUAAAAUUUUAGGAUUAGACUUGUAAUUGACAAAUUGUUUAGAAACACACUCAAUUUAAUAUUCGGUAUGGUACUGAUAGUUUGAAAUUGUUACGAUUUAGUCCUUAAUAAUGAAACUUGAUUUCGACAUAGAAAAUAAACUCAAAUUAAGCUGAAAUUUUUAGGACUUACAUAAAUUGAAAAAAAUAGGGUUAGUAAU
rnacentral:lncRNA from 1 species